rnacentral:lncRNA from 1 species
UAAACCAAAAUACCAAUCAGGAAAAAAGGAUGCUUUCCUUGCCCCGCAUGCUAAAUAGUACAUACAUAAUAUUAUUCCCUCAGAAAAUGUGACAUAAAAAGAAAAAUGCAGCCCAUAUGUCAAGAUGUUUGUUUGCCGAAGACAAACUGAACCAAAAUUUUUUACCUUCUCCCUGUUCAUUGUUUUUCGAAUCAUAUCCUGCGUGAAAAAUCUACGUGAACUUGGAUCUCCAGAUCCCUCUUGCUUAAAAAUUCUUUUGCCAAAGCAUCUCAGCAAUCUGUGCAUCUGCAGUUCAUUGUUUUCUCCAAUUUUUGCCAGGGGCAUUAGAAUGCAACCAGAAGAUGGAAGGUAACAAUUGGGCCACAUAUAUGAAGCAAUUCGGGCAUCCACACCAGAGAUAAAACAUGCAAUGUCCAGAUAUAUAUCUUUUUGCAGAUGAUCCAGUUCUCCGUAACAUAUAUCCAAUAGCUCUUGAAGGCCAACCAUAGUCUUUUGAGAACUCAUCGGACGUGCUUUCAUUGCCUUCUCCAUCUUUUCCCAUUCUUGUAUUGAUUUACCCCGCAAAAAUGAACCGAUGACUUCAACUGCUAAUGGUAGUUUCUUUGUAGCAUCGACAAUGCAGUUUGAGAGUCCAUCAUAAUCAGGCAUGGAAGAUUGCAUCCUGAAUGCAUGCUUGCAGAAAAGUUCAAAAGCUUGACCAUCAUCCAACUCACUAACCUUGUAGGUGGGAGCCUUGUUGGAAUCAUACCCUUCGAGAAUUUCCUCAUUUUGAGAAGUCACAAUUACUCGACUACCUGGACCAAACCAAUGAAGCUGGUCUCCUACAAUAGCAUGAAGAUCGGAUGGCUUUUCCACGGCAUCGACAACUAUUAGAACUUUCAUUUCACAAAAUAUAUCCACGAAAUCUUUUAUUGUUUCAUCAAAAGAAGGAUCUUCAUGAUUUCGUUCAAGGAUAUCACGUAUCAACUUAUUUUGCAAAAACUGCAUUCCACCAGAACUUUGUGUGGUUUCUUCGACCUCUGCAAGAAAGCUACAACUGUCGAAACAAGAAGAGAUCUGGUCGUAUACAGCCUUGGCGAGAGUCGUCUUGCCAAUUCCAUCAGUACCAUAGAUUCCAAUAAUGCGCACCUCAUCAUUACCUUCCAUCUCCAGUAAGUCGGUGAUUUGUUUGGCACGAUCAUCAAUUCCAACCAAAUUCUGAACAGCUGCAAUUGCGUAAUUCCUAUCCGAGGCUCUCAUGUCUACUGUUCGCUGUCCAGCUUCAUCUUUCAUAUUCUCCAUGCUCUGCAAUAAAAAGAUAAUUUCUUCACCAAAGUAUUAUCAUAGAUGGAAAAAAGAACAAACGUCACCUGAUCAGUCUCUCUUUUCUAACAUUGCAUCACUUUCACACAUGAGAUUGGAAAUCAUUUUCCGAAUGAGAUUUAACCCUAGAAACAUUUUUGGUCACAUAUCACAAUAGGAAAAAUUAACAAAUUUUCUUGAAAAAUUUCCCANNNNNNNNNNNNNNNNNNNNNNNNNNNNNNNNNNNNNNNNNNNNNNNNNNNNNNNNNNNNNNNNNNNNNNNNNNNNNNNNNNNNNNNNNNNNNNNNNNNNNNNNNNNNNNNNNNNNNNNNNNNNNNNNNNNNNNNNNNNNNNNNNNNNNNNNNNNNNNNNNNNNGUUAUUCAUGGCGCGAAUCAUUUUCUCCAUGCACUCAAUAGUUAGAGAACAAGUUGAAGAGAUCGACGGAUGCGGUCGGCGAGGGAGAGAAGGCCGUGAACAGGGUCGACGCCGACGGUCUGUAGCUAUUGUUCGGGGGCCAGAACGGGCUCAAGUCUUGCAACAUGUGGGGCUCCGUCGCCGGCGAGAAGAAACCCGCGGAUAUCGCCGGCGGGGCCGCCGGCGUCAGUAUCAUCAGCCCGUCGUCGCCGGCCACCGCCGAAGGCCCGCCCAUGAACAGGGUCGACGCCCACGGGCUGUUGUAGCUGUGGUUCCUGAGCCAGAACGGGCUCAAGUCUUGCAACAUGUGGGGCUCCGUCGCCGGCGAGAAGAAACCCGGGGAUAUCGCCGGCGGGGCCGCCGGCGUCAGUAUCCCCUGACUCUGGGCCAGCUGGACGUCUCCCAACAUACACAUCAGCUCGUCGUCGCCGGCCACCGCCGACGGCCCGCCCAUCUCCGCGGCGGCGGCGGCAAAGCCCUUUUCCCUGCCCGUCGGGCUGGUCUGCUCUAUCGCCGCCACUCUGGCCGCCGGGGACACGUACCCGGAGGAGGUGGAGGAGGACCCCGUGAGCUGCUGGACGAUGGACAUGAAGUUCCGCUCCUCGACGUGGAUGACCUUCGGCGAGAUGUCGAAGAUGAUCGUGGGCCGUUGCCGGUCCGCCCCCGCCCCCGCCGGCGGCAGGUUGGUCGGGCGAGGGUCCCACGAGGAUGAGGACGCCGGGUGGGGCAGCCGGUGAGGGCGGGGCGGCUUCUGGACGGCGUGGGACUGCUUGGGGACCCGGAGCGGGGAGGGCCGGGGGCCCUGGGAGGGGGGAGCUCCUUCUUGGGCGGCGACGGCAGCGGCGGCUGCCUUUCCUCCGCCGGAGGGAUAGGAAGGCUCCAUGAUUGAGGCUAUAUCGGGUCGGUCUUGAUGGGGGAGGAGGAAGGAAAAGGAAGUGGGGGAUGAAUAAGAGGCCGAGAUUUGGUGGGCAGCGGUCAAAAUGGAUGCUGAAGCUAAGAGCAGAGCAGAGGAGGAGAGAGAAUAGAGAGAGAGAGAGAGCGAAUUACAUUUAUGACCGGAGAAAAGUCAACAAUUCAUCGAAAGGGUCCUCCUGUAAUUUUCCAAGGCCCCGCAUUCGUUGUUUUAUUAUUAUUGGCACUGAGCUUAUGCAAGGAGGAUGAUGGUUGGCUGAGGUGGGCAGAACGCCCCUCCUCAUUUCAUCAAUGGGCCGCACCGUCCUCCUUCUUCUAGAGAGAUUAAGGAAAGAUUAGAGCUUUUCACAUUUAUAACCCGUUUUUGCAUAUGAAUCCGGACUGAUCCUUAACAGGUUUAAAGGAGAAAAAAUAGGAGAAAUAACUCAUGAGGGAUUGGACUCCCCAAUGUCGCUUUCUGUAUUUCCAUCUGAAUAGGGAAGAGAAAGAUCUAACUUUGUUAUAAUGGGAGCAUAUCUAACUUAGCUAUAAGAAUAAAUAAGUAUGGUUUCUUUCUCUCUCUUCCCCUUAUGCUAAAAUCAAAAUUCUGGCGUCUGGUAACCAGAAUUGGAAGAGCAACAACAUUCAUUUGCCAGUCAGUUUGACCGGUUUGAUGUACCCUUUUGGAAAACAAGAAUUUCAAAACUAAAAAAAUUACCAACUUUUGAUGAGGAAGUAAGUAUGGCCAGAGCCCAUGUUUAACUGUCUGCCGCCACGUCAUGGGAAAGUUCUUUGUUAUUACCUUUUCCAGUUGUCCGGAUCUCUCUCGUUCUCGCGUAUAAGAAUCUCUAAUCAAGAAAUGCGGGAGAUAUCAUGUCUAGUUUCGAGGAAGGGGAGGCCGUCUGGACUUUCUUUCUUUGGCCUGCCUCAUAAUCUUUUUAUGUACUUCGACCUGUGAGCUAAUCUCGCUUUUGAGGAUCUCUUUCUUUGGCGUGCCUCAUAAUCUUUUUAUGUACUUCGACCUGUCACUCGACCCUAUGAGCUAAUCUCGUUUGAGGCAUUUAGUGGCACUUUUGAGGAUCGCUUUCUUUGGCGUGCCUCAUAAUCCUUUUAUGUGCUUCGACGUCACUCGACCUAUGAACUAAUCUUGCUUGAUGCGUUUAGUUGCACUUUUGAGAAAAGCUUUUAAGAAAAUAUAAAUGAUUUCAAGUUAAAAAAAAAAAAUAUGUAAAUUGUGUUUGUUAAGUUGUGAUAAAAAAUCCAUUAUGAAAUACUUUAAGUAAAAGGGUAUUUGAAAAGAAUAUAUUUACAGCAAAGACCGGCCACAGGCGAGGUCAAGCCUCGUCGGGUCCUCGCCCAAGACUAGUGAGCUUGGGUGAGGCAGCCUUGUUGACCUCUAGCAACCAUCCUCACCCACUCACUACUCUAGCGAGGUCCAAGCUCGCCUGUGGCCAGUUGUCAACCAUCGCCAUGGCCGGUGAUUAGACGAAGAAGAAGGAAAAAAAAAAAAGGAAAGAGAAUGAAAGAAAAGGAAAAAAAAAACAUAAAAAUUAAAAAUAAUUAAAAACUCGAUUUCAAAAAAAUAAAAAUAAAAAGAAAAUGUGUUUGGUGAGAAAAAUACUUAAAUAUAAGUGAAAGAAACAAGAUCUAAAAAAUGAAAAACAUUUUCCCUGCUUAUGUUUUUUUCAUUGAUAGAAAAUAUUUUCCUUGACUAGUUUAUUUUCCGUAAACCAAACGGCAAAAAAUCAAACAAACAUUUUUCUGAAAGUUAUUUUCUAUUACAAGCCUUCACUUAUAAGAGGAAUCCUCUCAUCCUUUCCAAUAAAAAGUCAAAUUAUGUUGAGGAAUAUCUUCAUUGUAUGAAAAAACAAAGAUAUGUAACUGACCUCGAUGGCAGCUUCGACUCCAUCCUUCAGCUGGUUAACAUCUUCAAGCUCAUUAAGGAUUGUUAUACUGCUGCCUCGAAUAAUAUUCAAGACUGGCAAAAGCUUUAAAUUUUUGCAUGCGUCCAAUGCAACAGGAUGGGAGAAUAUUGGUAAAGUGGGACGAGCAGAAAAGAUACCUUCCACCUUCCUGAGACGUCGUAAAUCUUCGAGCCCGUUAAGGUUUAUUGUCCGUUUGCAAUGAAAAACUUUCAAGACUUCCAAAAGCUUUAAAUCUUCGAGACCAUCAAUCUAUGCUAAAUCGCAGUCCUCUAGUUCUAGUUCUGAUAGAUGUUUCAGACUAGAAAAUUUUGGCUCUGGAAUCUUGCAGUGUUUGAGACGCAGAGUCCAUAAGUUUGAGGAGGGAAGUUGUGUGAGGUCUAGCUCCUUCAUGUAGGAUAAAGUGAGUUCCCGGAGCUUGGUAAGACCACGAAAAUCCCCAGCGAGAUUGGUGACAUUUGGAAGGGACAAUUCCAAGGUCUCUAGCCUUGUCAAUCCCAUGAUCCACCACAUAUUUGGGGUCUGAUUUGAUGACCCCGCUUCUAUCUGCUCAUCAACAUUCAAGCAUAGCUCUUUUAGAUUCGUCAAAUUUGUCAAUUUGAGGUCUGCCAUAAUUUUGGAUUCACAACAGAGAGUGACUAAACUGGAGGGCAACUCUGGUACUACUUGAAGUCGUUCACAUUUACGUACGUCAAGGGUUCGAAGAAGAGGGAGACUGCAAGCCCUGAGGCAGCCCCACCACAAUGGAUGACGAUAAUCUCAAAAUUCUCAAGGAGGAUAGUUGUGAUAUUCUCAAGGAGGAUAGUCCUGAAAUAUCACAACUAUCUUGGGCCUCCAAAUUUGUGCAGCUAGAGAAAUCUAUCUCUUCCAGUUUCUCUAACUUCACAAUAUCUUUAGGAAAUUUUUGUAGGGGGGUGCGUUCCAUCUUCAGCGUCUUCAAAUUACUCAAAUCCUUGACUGACUCUGGUAGUUGUGUGAUUCUAGUGUCCGAAAGGUCCAUUUCCUCCGGCUCCUUUAGCUUCCCAAUGGAAGAUGGAAGUUCACACAACUUCUCACACUUCCUUAGAGAAAGUCUUUCAAGCUUAAGAGGAAAAUCAAAAGUUUCUGGAACCCAAUCAAUAUUAGCACCAUCCAGAGCAAGACUUUUGAGUUUCGUCAGGUGGCCAAUUGGGGAUAUGUCCUUCAACUUUUUACAGUUACGAGCACUAAGUACUUCAAGGUUCCUCAAAGAAUUAUUUUCGAUAUGAAUUUCUACGAUGUCAGUUCCGUCAAUCAGAAGUUCCGUAAAAAAUCCCUUGCCACUCAGUUGUAGGAUCGGCAAUUGGAUUGCCUUGCAGUUUCUCAAAUUCAAGGAUUUCAAGCGCUUCAGUUGCCUGAUGAAUGCCCAAAGCGCAGGUGACCGAGUACAAUCUUCCAUUAUCAAUAUCUCCAAAUCGGUUGAAGCUGAAGACUUCAACAAUACCCUAUGCAGAUCACAUCCUUGUAGGUUCAAGACUUUCAAUUCCUCCACCUUCUGCAAUGAACGUGCAACAAAAGAUAUCAGACUUUACUCACUCACACCUAAAAUCUUAUCGAGAGAUUUAAAUAGUAAAUAUCAGCCAUACCUCCAUGAUUUGCCUCCACUCUUGUGGAUAUUUGGUGACUGGACUCCUAGACAGAUCGAGAAUGAGUAACUUCUUCAAAUCUUACAUAGCUCAGGAAUGAAAUGACAAUCUCGCCAAUCACCCUCUUCAAGUGUGAGACUAAUGCCUUCGACACUUUCAUUAUGCUGUCAAGUGUCGACGGGGGAAGACGGAUGAGUAAGUUGAAAAACUUUAAUUUCUUAAUCCUUUAAAUCAAAUGAGACAAAUUAAAUUUACAAAAAUCAAGUGGGUAUCCAUUUCGCGCUCCGAAUCGUGUUUAAGAACAAAUCCGUUUUUUUCCCUGCUCCAGAGAUUGAAUAGUUUAUACUAGGAAGCACGGACACUCUCCUGAGCCCUUCCGUGUCGCGACACGCAGUAAGUUCCGGCAUGCACUUGUCACAGGGUAGAGGUAGCAGGGGUUGGUGUUCUUGAGGGAGGCGGAGAAGCGGGAGGUGGAGGACUCGUGUGGGCGCCGCGCCCAGCGAUGAGUUCCCACCCAACGCCUCCGCCGCUGCAGAUCCGAUCUGGCUAGCUAGAUCUGCAGCAGCCAUGGCAACGACGGGGGAAUCUCUACGGAGCCCAAUCGCUACCGACAUCUCGAUCUAGCCUGUUUGGGCCAUGGACAAGCCGGUCGAGGCCAGGAGCCGUCGGAAUCUCGACCAUGGUCAAGCUUCCACUGGAAUGGCAUCCCCUGCUUCCACUUGGGGCUGCCGUCGCAUUCCUUGACGGUCAUGCGAGCUUCUUGGUCUGGAAGACGAAGCCGCCGACGACGACGAAGAGAGGCAAGGGUCUCACCGGGUUCGAGCACAAGGUUCGCCCGGCAGACGGGACACGUGGUUUGCAUCAGCGCCACGUUUGGAUGCGGACGCAGUCGCAACACAAAUCAUUUGCUAAAUAUAUUAUUAUGUCGAUUCUUUUCAAAAGAAUAUAUAAGAGAAUUCUGCAGUAUCGCGUUCAGCAUAAGAAUAAAUCGAUGUUGAGAACGUGUGUUUGAAUGAAUUACCAAAAAAACAUGUGCAUUAGAAUCAAACAAAAAAAAUGAUAAUUUAUAAUGUAUAUUUAAAAAUAUUCAUUUAUUAUUUAUUGUGUCAUUACGUGUUACGUGUUAGAAUUUUUCAUUUUCUUGAAAAAUGACAUAUCAACGUAUUAUGUUGCUUGCCGAUACUAUUUAGAAUUUAUGUUAUUUAUGGAUGGUUUAUCUGAACACAUUCGUGACCCUCUAAAAGAAAUUUCUAAAAGCUUUUGAAAACUUACCUACCAUCCUUUAGAAUGGAACAUACAUCAUUGAACUUCCAAAUCCUGCAGCGCUUUCGAAGAUCCUUCCCCUCGACAAUUUUCCUUCUGAAGUCUCUUAAUAGUCUGUGCAUUCUUAAUUUAUUAUUUUCUCCAUCUUCCAAGAAAUGCAUGUUGCGAAGUUCUUUUGUUUCAAAAGAAGGAUAGCAACCACAAGCCUUCCGCAUGUUAGAGGGAGUCCUCUCAUCCUUUCCAACAAACGAACACGUUCCCUCUAACAUCCUUUCCAACAAACGAACACGCUAUGUCCAGGAAUAUCUCCUUUGUACGUUCAUUUAAUAAAUCAUAAUUUGCGUUCAAGGCAGCUUCUACUUUUCCCUCAUGUGGAUGAUCUCUUAAGUAAUCUCGGAUAAUUCUCCAUGUCUCUGGAAUGUACUCAUCUUUAAAUAAUUUGCCCAAAACACAGUAGCCAUAGCCUUCUACUUGUGAAGAAGAAUAUGGAUACCUCGUCUGAUGUCUCUAAAGGGAGUGACCCCGUAGGAGAGUUUGUCGUUGCAAUAAUCAUGUCCUUGUAAUCCCUGUAGGGAAGGCCAUUGACAUUAGGAUAGCCAUGGCUUUGUAAUUUACGACACUUCCGAAUUGUUAUUAGGCAUUCAUCAAACAACUUCGUGUUAGAUUCGUCCAGCAGAACUUCCAGUUUCCGAUAGCUAGAAACAUAGAAAUCACACAAAAAGUCUAGCUCAUCAACACCAUCAAUAGAUUGUAGCUCAUGGCAACCGACGAUUGACAGAGACUUCAGCAUCUGUAAGUUUGAUAACUCACAUAUUUUGCUAAUAGGACACUUUUUAAUGGUUAAAGUCUCCAAUGAUUUCGAUGCAACAAGACUUGGAAUCUCAAUCAGCUUCUCACAUCUUGAAACCUCCAAAUGUGUUAGCUUCUCUACUUUCGAUGGAAUAAUUAGUUUCUCCAGUGAACUGCACUCAUAAACAAGUAAUGCAUUCAAAGAUUCUAAAUCGUUGAGGCCCUCAACAGUACGAAGCUCAUAGCAGUUUGAUAUAACCAAAAGCUUCAGCAACUUUGAGUUUGACAGGUCGUAUAACCUUUCAACGGAACCAUAGUACUGUACAUUCAUUUCUUCCAAGAACUCUAGGGCCUCCAAACCUUCAAUCUCAACUAGCUUCGGACAUUCUGAUAGCCGCAAUUCUUUAAGUUUCUUUAAGCUUGCCAGGAUGAAUAACCUUUGGAGGAGUUCACAUUUAGUCACUGACAAUGCUCUCAGUUCUUCGAGUCCACUGAGAUCAAUUUCUUGAAGCUGAGAUUGAGAAAGUCGUAGCUUGGACAAGUUUUUCAAGUUGGAAAAGAUUGACCAAGAUAUUAUUGAGUUGAAAUUAACAAGUUUUCAAGUUGGAAAAGAUUGACCAAGAUAUUAUUGAGUUGAAAUUAACAAGUUGCAGCUCUGAUAAGGAGGGAGGAAGCUUCAUGAUACAUUGCAAGUCUAGUCCAGAUAAAAUAAGCUCAGUUAGACGAGGAAGAGAACCAAACUGAGUAGGUGGUGCAGGGACACUAGAAAGAGACAAUUCUAACUUCUUCAGUUUAGAUAACCUCCUAAUCCACCCUAAGCUGGAACUUGGCAACAGAUAUGAUGAAGCUUUAAGCACAUCUUCAGAGCCAUCAGAUAAGAGCAAAUCAACCAGAUUAGUCAAGUUUGAGAGAUCCGAAAAAAUGUGCAAUGCUGAUGAUCGAAAAUGCAGAUAGAUUAGACUUUUUGGAAGCUCUGGCAAUUCUUGAACCUCAUUACAACCUGUCAACUCCAAUCUUUCAAGGUGGAGAAUAUGAUUGAUUGUUGUCGGCACUCCAGAAAUAUGGGCACCUAAUAGUUCGAGAAUUUUCAAAGAGGACAAUGCGCCAAUUUCAAUUGGAAUUUCACCAGUUAAUUCUUCACAAUCACUAGCAUGGAGCUCUUCCAGAUUCUUUAACAUUCCAAUAGUAUUGGGCAAUUUCCUUAUUGGAGUAUUCUCCAUCGAUAUCACUUUCAAAUUCUUGAGAUUUCCAAUUGAAUCUGGUAACUCAGCAAUUUUAGUACUGGAUAAAUUCAACUCUUGCAAAGACUCUAGCUUCCCAAUUGAGUCUGGGAGUUUUCUCAACUUAAUGCACCCAAAGAGAUAGAGAGAGACUCAAGUUUCACAAGCUUCCCAAUAGUCUCUGGAAGCGUGCUAAUUUGUGUGUACCUUAGAAUAAGGACAGACAUAAACUUCUUAUCACCAAUACAAUCAGGAAGGCAUUCAAUUUGUAUGUUUGACAGAUCCAACUCCUUCAAUGAACCCGGGAGUUUCAGAAAACAUCCACUAGAAGCAAGGAGCUUCAUAUUCGUAAGCCUUCCAAUUUCUUCAGGCAAAUCCUUAAGAGAGAGGUCCUCUUUAAGAUUUAAGUGAAUCAGGCGCUUUAGCUUCCCAAUGGAGGGAUCAAUCUCAACCAAGUUUAUGCAAUUGUAAAAACUCAGCCUCUCUAGACUGAAGCAUGUAGAGAAGUCUAGUGUUCUAAUUAUGCCUUCGCAACCUCUGAGGUUUAGAACUUUCAGAUUCUUUGCCAUCUAACAAAAAUGAUUCACCAUCAAGAGAAGAAAAUAGUAUAUAUUACAUCAUACGCCAAUUAGAAUCAAAGCGAAUGCAUAUCAUACCUUGAUUAGGCUCCAUCCACUCCAGUCAUCUGUGAUGCCGCCUGCAACGAUCUCAAGGACAACCAAAUUCUUCAUAGAUAGAUUGGUUACCUCAAGAUCAAGGGGCCUAGGAGAAUACCAAGAAAUCCACCUUAACUUCGAAAAAUCAUCCCCAAAGUCUCUGGCAAAGGUUCCCUCCUCUAAUUCAAGGAACCUUAGGUUGGGCAACCUAUUAAGUUCGUCAUGCGUAAUUACAAGUGGUUGAUAAUCACUUCCAGUUAAUAUGAGUUCCUGAAGUUUUUUCUUUCUCUGCCAAAGCGAACACAAAUGAACAAGCAUGAAUUUGAAAUAUAUAUAUUAUAGUAAGAAUUUGACAAAUUUUCAAAUUCUCGUUUGGGGUAAAAGAAUCGAGAGGCCUCUAAGUGGGAAUGUAAACUCUUUUCUACACGUAUCAAACUCAUGAAAACAGUGAAUUUUGUUUACCUGUUUUGUUCUUACAAUGUCCACGGCUUUCUCACAAAUCCACACCUGGCUACGCUCUCCAGGAUCAUGCAAGCACUCCCUUAGAACGAUGUGCCUCCCAAGAUCUUUGAGCUGGUCAAGCAUCCAUAAUACAUCACCAUCAACAAUCUUUACCAUAGACAUUUGCAUAAGAACCUGUAUCCUAGUCUCAGGAAAAAAUUGCAAGCUUCCCACAUGUAAAUUGCAUUCGUCUUUUUGGUGUUGUUGACAAAAAAACAAGCAAUGUCAAGAAAAAUCUCCUUUUCCUCAUCCCCUAAUGCUUCAUAACUGAUCAUCAACUACUGUCAGACAUCCUUACGAGGUAUUCUUGCUAGCCUCUCCACAGUCUCUUUCCAUAUCUUCUCUAGUUGGCGAUAGAGAAAUGAGCCUAUGACCUCAAGAGCCAAAGGAAGCCCUUUGGUUGUGACAACAAUUUCUGAUGCAGGAAUAUCGUAUUGAUAUGGUGGAUAAUCUUUUCUAAAAGCAUGUAUGCAGAAAAGCUUAAGAGCUUGAUCAAAAUUCAGUUCCUUUAAUUUGUAUAUCAAAUCCUCAUCCAGGACUUUUAGAGUAGCUUCAUUCCUGGUUGUAAUGAUUAUCCUACUUCCUGAACCAAACCAAUCUCGUUCCCCUGCUAACUUCUCUAGUUGUUCUUCAUUAUCAACAUCAUCCAAAACGAUGAGGACCUUUUUGCUGCGAAAUCUUGUCCCGAUCUGGUUAAUCCCAUCAUCAAUGUCAUGAAUGUUGUCCACGAAUCUAGAGUCGAGAAUGUUUACAACUGUUUUUGCAAAUUUACUAGGCCCCCUUUUUCUGAUGAUUCUCGAACAUCUCCAAGAAAGCAGCAAUCAUCGAAAUAAGAACAGACCUGGUUGAAGACAACCUUCACAAGAGUUGUUUUGCCAACACCGCCCAUCUCGUGAAUACCAACAAAACAAACACCUUCACAGUCAACAUCCAACAGCUUCAUUUCUACACGAUCAUCCACUCCAACCAGCUGAUUUUUCACGUACUUAUGCUUUAUCUUCAACUUUACCAAAACCUCUCGGAUGAUCAACUUAAUAGCUUCCCCAUGCCUGCCACAUAUACGAACUGCCUCAGUUGAAGAAAGACGGUAAAUAGAGAUGUCAUCAUUUCUUUCAAGUCAAAGCAAAAGUAUUUGGAUUUAUGCAUAGAUGAUUCACAAACAAGGAGUCAGUUAAGAAACAUACACAUAAUACAAAGGUAAAAUUUUACACAUGAGACGAAGGUCCAAUGUUUUAUACCUCUUUCCCAACAAUGUAAAUCUGUCUUCAAGCUUUCUCUCUUUUUUUCUUUUUCUUUUUUGUUCUUUUUAUACCAUCAAUAGGAAAUGCAACUUAAGCUUAAAGUUCUUCCUGCUUCAUGAAUGAUUUCCAAGCUAGAUUGAGCAAGAUGGAAUAAAUAACUGGACCUACAAGUUAAAUUAAAAAAAUUGAGUUGAGUAAGAGCAGAAAGAAAACUUAAGAAGAAGAAUUGAUGAAAAGAACACGCAGAAAAAGAGUGAAAAAUAUCCAGUGAAGGGUAAACGAGGGGCAAAGAAAAGAAGGAGACUUGCUAAAAUGAAGCUUUCCUCAGAAACCACUAGUUGCUUCACUCCUUAAAACAUCAGAGUAAAUUUGUGAUAUUAGAUUUCAGACAAGGCAAAUAACAUACAAACAAAAGCUUUGAAUAUCUUGGAACUUAACACACCCUCGAGUAUAUGUAGGUUCUAGAUCUACGGAAUCCACGUGUAUGAUAGAGGAGGUGUGCAAUAUUAUGUCAUUGCAAAUGCCUUCUUGAUAUGAUGCUUAAUUUUCAUUUACCCACCUGAUGUUUUUUUGCUUGGUCUCUGUUUAAACUGUACUCUGAUGUUUGAAAUUGCUUUCUAGACUAGCCAAAUGAAUGAAAUUUUUUUGCAGAACUUCCCGAUUUGGUUGGUAUACGAGUGACCACGACCAAAAUGGAGAUUUUAAUUAACUCAUCAGUUUUCUCCUAUCGAUUAUCACUUACCACUGAUGAAAGGCCCAUCAAAGUGAGGAACAGAAUAGAGAUUAUCCAGGCUCAUUAAUUUUGAAAGCUGGUUGCUGACUACUAAAAUGGAGCCUGCCAGAUUUCAUGAGUCUAUACAUCAAUGACCACACCAGACACAGAAUAUACUAGCAUCCAACUGAGACCCGGACAAUGUACAAUUACUGCCAACUUCUUCCCGCAUUUCAAACCGUCGAAAUUCCCAGAAAUCUUACCUAUGCAGAAAAUGGCAAAGACUGAGGAAUUCAAAUUGUACAUCCUAAUACAACCAUCAGAUUGCAUAUAAAUGACACGAAAAUAAUAUCAAAAGAACAGAAAAUUGGAAGAUUAGUAAUUACCCUCUCGUUUUGAGGUCCCAUCCCUUCAAUUCAGCAACUUCAACAAGAGCAUCCUCCCACCUCUUCACUUCCUCAACCCCAAACUUCUUCCUGUGCUUGGCCAUGGCAUUCCUGUACAGCCCAGUCCUGAGCUUCACAUCCGAGGGCGACGCGUCGAAGAACACCGGCAAGAUCUCCUUAUUCCCCUUCGACCGAGCCACGCAGUCCACCAUGUGGGCGACCUCGCGGAGGCACCACGAGCUCGAUGCGUAGUCCUUGGAGAAGAUGGGCACGUAGAUCUUGGACACGUCGAGCGCCCGCAUGAGCUCGCCGCCGAUCUCCCUGCCGACGCGGAGCUCCUCGUCAUCUCGGUAGACACGGAUUCCGGCGCCGAGCAUGUCGUGGUAGAGGCAAUCAGUAAAUCCCGUUCGAGUAUCAGGCCCCCUGAAGCUCAGGGACACCUCGUACUCCUCGCCGGCCGGCGCCGGCGCUACGCUGCCGCUUGCCGCGGCUCCGGGGUUGCUCGUCUCCUCUCUCCUGACCGUCGCGGUGGGUUUGCGGAAGAAUUUAGACGCUUUCGAUUUGACGAAUGCGAGCACGGUCGGAGCGAGCAGUCCCAAGGCCCUGACAAAGAUGCAACGAAGUUUGGAGACUGGCUUUUUCAUUUCCAUCUUCUGGGUUGGUGAGCUUUGAGGCGGAAGAGAAAAAGGAAGAGUAAGAGAGCGGCUUACAGUCCACCGAGCAUCAUGGCGGCGAACAUGGCGGACACGCCGCGGGGCGCGCGGUGGUAGCCGAGCGUUGGCGGCUGGCAAGACGAGCACCACGCGAAGGAAGAGCUGAACGUGGUCGGAGAACGACACGGCGCGUGCGGGAUGAACUUGAACCCCAUCGCGAUCAUGGGUCAGCUCGGUCUUCGCUUCGGAUCGGAUGUAGAAGACGAUCGUCCAAAGAGAGAUGUGCAGUAAUCUUGGCGUUCGGUCUGGUCAAAGAGUUGACGAUCGUCCAAACAAUUUUUGCCGCGGGCCUAAUUAUUACUACAAGGGAGCUUUAUGUGUAGCUAAAGAAGCAUAACAGAGACACAGGCGAUGGGCGUUUCCGCCAAACCACUGGCGCUCGUGUAAUUCGGUAAUUUUCAGAAUUUCUUCCUAAAUCAUUUUACGCAAUGAAUGCGCUUGUCUUUCUGAUAUCCUUAUUUCAACUUUAGUAAAACGUAAAUUUUCACGAAUUGAGAAGUCAUAAUCUUUGCUCACAUUCAAGUUUUGGUUAUAUGUUUGGCCGGUUGAUUCUAAAAUUGCCUUAAAGAAAGGUCUCAUUUAUUCUUGUGAUUUUUCCAAUUUUUUUCAUCCUUAAGAAGGAGAGGCUUUGAUAGCAAAUGCAGAAAAUGAAUAAGGAACAGACUGGACAUCUUUUAGCUUGUUAGAUUGAACAUUAUGUCUAUUACAGAAGUUAAAAAAUUAAUGUGCAAUAAAUUGAGAAGAGAAAACAAAAGCCUCCGUCUUGGUGAAACUUUUGUCAUCACCAUCCUAUAAUCAACUCCAGGAUAUUCGGGAACCUGACAACUCGAUUAACUCGAAUGGAGAAUGGCAACACUGAAGGCGGUGUUCAGGAUGAAUUUUCCCAGCAGAGUCGACGAAAACACGGGCCUGUGAUGGCUCACAAUUGCUGAGUCCCUGCAAUGUCGCCCGUGGAUCCUGGAUGUUACUUUCUCCUUCGUCGCCUCUUUUUCAUCGUGAUCGAAGAGUUGAGUGGCAGCGGAUGGCUUUUGGAUGCAUCCUACAGGCUACAAAUAACGGUAAAUGGUGUUUUGGUGAAUCGUGCCUUCAUAGAAAAACGGGAGAAACUGAACACUGACAAAAUAUGCAGCAAUUCGAGCGUAGGCAUUUACCUUCAGCAAUUGCCUCGACAAGAUUCUUGAUGCCACUACCAAUUGCCAGACGCGAAGAAACUGCCUGGUCUUUUUUGUGCCCCUGCACUGAUCCAAUGCAAUUUACACAUAAGGGAUGCGCAGAAAUGGUAAAAUCCAACUUCGUUUUGAUUAAAAAGACUUGUAAACAGAGCUGGAGCAUGUACCUUAGAGAGGUCGCCCUCCAGUUUCUUAGACUUAUAGGAAAUAUCCUGUCGAAGAAUCAAAAUGUUAACUUCACAUUCACAUUUGUGAGACAAAUGCAAUAUUGCGAAUGUCCACUUCACAUUCACAUUCGCAUAAUUCUGAUAGACUGGCGAGAUCACAAGAGAAAACUUGCACCUUCCUGAGACGGGGUAAAUCUCUGAGCCCAUCAAGGUUCGUUAUGCUGCAUUCAGAAAUUUUCAGGACUUCCAAAACCUUUAAAUUUUCAAGACCAUCAAUCUUUGCUAAAUCACAGUUGUCUAGUUCCAAUUCUGACAGAUACUUCAGACCAGAAAAUUUUGGCUCUUGAAUCGUGCAAUGUUUGAGACGCAGAGUCAAUAAGCUUGAAGUUAAGGGAAGUCGUGUGAGAUCUAGCUCCUUCAUGUAGGAUAAAGAGAGCUCCUGGAGCUGCGUAAGGAUACCGAAGUUCCCCGGGAGAUUGGUGACCAAUGGAAGGGACAAUUGCAAGAUCUCUAGACUUGGUAACCUCGCGAUCCACCCAAUAUUCGGAGUCUUUAGAUUCAAUAACCUCAUUCGCCAUUUAGCUUCUGGCUGCUCAACAUCUUUCAAAAGUAGCUCUUUCAGAUUCGUCAGAUAUGACAAGUCAGGGACUAUCAUUUGUUUGGAUCCCCAGACGAGACUGAGUAAACUGGAGGGCAACUUCGGUAGAGCCUGAAGUUGGUCGCAGUCGAGUAGGUCCAGGGUUUGGAGGCGUGAGAGAUGGCCAAUACUUGGACUCAGCCCAGCCACAUCGGAUGACGAUAAUCUCAAAAUUCUCAAAGAGGAUAAUCCUGAAAUAUCACAGCGAACUUCACCCUCCAAAUUUCUGCAGCAGGAGAAAUCUAUCUCCUCCAGGUUCUUUAAGUUCACCAUAUCUUUAGGAAAUUUUCGUAGGGGAGUGUGCGCCAUCUUUAGUGUCUUCAAGUUCUUCAAAUCCUUAACUGACCAUGGCAUUUUCGUGAUUCCAGUGUAUGAAAGGUCCAUUACCUCCAGCAGCUCGAGCUUCCCGAUGGAAGUCGGAAGUUUACCCAACUUCCAACAAUUCCUUAAAGAAAGUCUCCGAAGUUUCUGAAGAAGUUCAACAGUAUAUGGAAGCCCAUCGAUAUCAGCACCAUCGAGAGCAACACUUGAGAGAUUCCUUAGGCGGCCAAUUGUGGAUAUAUCUUGCAAAUAUUGACAGUCACAAGCACUAAGUAUUUCAAGAUUCUCCAAAGAACCUUCUGGGAAACGUAUACUAUAAAUCCCAGUUCCAUCAAUCAGGAGUUCCCUCAAAGAUUUCAUGCAGCACAGUUCUUGGGGCAACUGCCUGACUCCGAUGCACUUUCUCAGAUUUAAGGAACUCAAGUUCUUCAAAUCACUAAUGAAUGGCCCAAUUUGAGAUAACUGAGUGCAAUCUUCCAGUAUCAAAAUCUCCAAAUUGAUUGGAGCUCGAAAGUUCAACGACGCAGGUAACUGAACACAUCCUUGCAGGUUCAAGACUUUCAAUUCAUCCACCUUCUGCAAUGUGGAAAAGAAGAUUCAGACCUUAACCACUCGUAUCUAUCAUCUUAACACAAGAUUUAAAAAGCAAAUAUCCGACAUACCUCCAUGAUUUGUCUCCAGACUUGCGAAUCUUCAGUGACUGGACUCCAAGACAGAUCGAGAAUGACUAACUUCUUCAUAUGCAUAUUAGCUAGGUCAGAAAUCAAACGGCAUGCUGACCAUUCAAGCCAUCUCAAAUUUGGAAGAAGAUUCUCGGUGUUUCCCUGAAUGUUAGCCCGGUCCAGUCUAAGGUACCUCAAAUUCGACAUUUUAUGAAAUUCUUCACAUGUAAAACAGACGAUGCAACCCUCUUCAACCGCAAGACCUAUACCUUCGACGUUUCUAGUAUCCUGUCAACCUCGAUUGGGGGAAAAAUGUGUGAGUAAUUUGAGAACUUUAAUAUCUUACUCCAUUCAAUGAAAUGGAGCAAAUCAGACUUACAAAAUCAGUGGUAUCCACUACGCAUUAUAAAUUGGGUUAAGAACAAAUCCGUUUCUUUUCCGUUCGAGAUUGAGAAAAGAAAGGUAAGUUUAUGCUUUCAAGAGGUUCUGAAACUUACCUUACUAUCCUUUAGAACGGAAACUGCAUCACUGUGAUUCCAAAUCCUGCAGCGCUCAUGAAGAUCUUUUCUCUCGACAAGUUUCCUGCCAAAGUCUCUUAGCAGGUCAUGCAUUCUGAAUUCAUUAUUUUCUCCAAUUUCCAAGAAAUGCAUCUCACGAAGGCAUUUUAUUCCUCUAGCAGGAUAGUAACCACAAGCCUCCCACAUGUAAGAGAGAAUCCUCUCAUGCUUUCCAAUAAAAAAGCAUGCUAUGUCGAGAAAUAUCUUUCUUGUAGGAACAUCUAAAGAGUCGUAACCAACCCUAAAGGCAGCUUCAACUUCAUUUGCUUGGUGAUCUUUUAAGAAUUCCAAAGUAUUUCUCCAUAUUCGUAUAUCAUCCUUAUUGUUGCAUAAAUAUGAGGCCGCAACCACAAUAGCUAAAGGAAGCCCUCCAGUAGCUUUGACUAUGUCCGUGGACAGGUAAUCAUACUCAGAGACAUCUUGGAGAGCAUCCCCUUGGAAAGCAUGCUUACGAAAGAGUUGAAGAGCAUGGUGAUAUCUCAUGGGUUCAACCUUGUAUUUUUUGGUUGGUCUGUUGUCAAAUCCAUCUAGAACAUUCCUCAUGCUUGUGGUCACAAUUAUUCUACUUCCUGGACCAAACCAACUAAGUUUCUCGGCUAAUGCUUUAGCUUGUUCAACCUCAUGCAAAUCAUCUAGGACAAUGAGAACCUUCAUUCUACUAAAUAGACUGGCUAUUUCUUUAGUACCUUCAUCAGAAGAUCUAAGUGGUGCAGGUUUUUCUUUCUGGAGGUCAGCAAUCAACAUUUCUUGUGAAAACGUGAUUCCUUUUGAAUUAAUACCUGGAAGGAAGCUACAUUCAUCAAACAAUAGAUGCAUCUUGUUGAAGACAACCUUUGCAAGUGUAGUCUUUCCAACACCUGGCAUUCCACAUAUUCCAACGACACGUACAUCUUGUCCACAUACUUCGAUCGCCCGUCCAUCAUUGUAGACAACACCAAGCUUUCUCAUCAUCUCUCGAACAUGAAGAUCAAUUCCAACUAGUUUAUCGGUUACAACUUGGUCAUCCUUCUUCAACAACUGCCUGACCCGUCUGAGAACUCCUUUUACAAGCUGGGACUCGUGCCUGCAAAACAUAAGUGAUGAGGCACAAAAAUGACAACAAAGUUACCAAAAGUAUUAAAAACUAAACAAAAAUCAAGUGGGGAAUGAAGCGGUGAAAAUUGAAACAACCAACAGGGGCAGGGGGAAUCUUCAAUUAAAAUGGACAGCAAGUUUUAAUGCGUGGGCUAUUUCCCUUUCAUGCACAUAGCAAUUAUGGCAUCGAUUUCAUGCCAUCUGCAAAACAAAAUUUCUAGCGAAGGGGAAAAGAAUAGGGCGCGACGGACCAGUACAUCUGGUCUAGCUCGCGGUUAUGUUAAUGAGUCUAGUCAUUUUCAAAUGGCCGGUGUAAUCGAGUCACCAGUUUUUCAAUAGGCACAUCGAACUACAACUUGUCAAAUCAUCGACUGAUUUCAUAAGAAUAAAUAACCUCAAAAACCUCUUGAGCAUGCAUCAUGAAUGAUAUGAUUAUAUAUAAUAUUUAUUCGAAAAGGUUUGGGUUCAUUUUCACAUCACCCUAAACCAUUUUUUUUUUCCAUUUUAUCUAGGAAAGAGAAUGGAAACCAGAAGUAAAAGAAUUACCCCCCAUAUACGUUAUCUAGAUGAUAUCCGCUUAAUCCCCCAAUCUGUCGAAGAACCUCCUUCCAUUUUAUGAUGGUAUUUGAGCUGACUCCGUCCUUCUCAUGUUGACGGAAGGAUGUUUCAAAAUGCCCAGCCUGGUGUUUUACAUCGGAGGGACUAAUGUCAUAGAAAAUCGGGAUGAUAGUCUGUCCAUUAGAUAUUCUGCACUCCCACAUUUGUACCACCUCCAUGAGGCAACUUUUACUGGAAGCAUAGUCUUUGGAGAGGAUGGCUAUUGAGAUCCUCGACUGCCUGAUCGCCUCUUUUAGCGCCGGCUUGAUCUCUUCUCCAGUAUGGAGAUUCUCGUCAUCCUUAAAGACCUUGAUCCCUGCAUCUACCAAUUUGCAAUGAAGGUGAUCCGUGAAUCCUUUGCGAGUAUCUGCACCUCUAAAACUCAAGAACACUUCAUGAUUGGUUAUGGACAAUGACGAUGAGAUCGAAGAUGAUUCCUGUCAAAUCAAGGAAACUAAACCACUUCAUAUAGUGAAUUAGCAUUUCAUAUUAAGAUUCCGUUCGUUUCAUGGAAAAUGUGACGUUUCUAGAAAAUGUUUUUCAUAAAGCUAUUUUCAAGAAAAUGAUAAUAUUUUUCAAUGUUAAGCUGAAACUUGAAAAUGAACUAAAAGAAUAUUUCCCGUUGUUCGAUAUAGAAAAUUCUAUUCGAUUUUCCUCCAUGCACUCAUUUUAAUAAAAAUUUUAUUUUUCCAAUAAGUAGAUUUUUUAUUUUUUUAUUUUCUUUCUACUUUUUUCUUUUUUCCUUUUUAUUUUUUCUUCUCCUUCUUCUUCUUCUUUAGUUGAUUGCCAACCAUGGUGAUCGACCAAAGGCGAGCUUGAGCUUGCUGGCCUCAAAAAGGCUAGUCGAUCUAGCGAGGCCCGAGGUCAACGAGCUUAAUCCUAUGGGAAGGCUCAUGCUCAUCGGCCUCAAGCCUUGCCAAAUCGAUGAGCUUGAGGCUCACCUAUGGUUGGUUGCUGGUCGUUGCCAUGGUGGCGAUCGGUCGAGAAAGAAGGAAAGCAAAAGGAUAGAAAAGAAAAUAAAAAGAAAAAAAAAAUAAUUUUUUUGGUAAGAAAAAAUAAUAAUAAUUUUAGUUUCUUAAAAAAUGAAUAAAAUAAAAUAAAAUAAAAAUAAAAAGAAGUGGGGGUUCGCAGGGAUGUGAGAUAAGAAAGAUUGAGUAAAAAAUAUUUUCUUUUAUUUAAAAAGUGAAAAAUAUUUUCUCCCCAUUUUAAAAGAUUUUUUUCUCUUGGUGAAAAAUGUUUUUCCAAUCAAUUGGUUUAUUUUCCGUAAAACGAAAGGUGGAAAACUCGGGAAACAUUUUUUUGAAAAUUGUUUUCUGUAAAAUGAAAUCUCAUAAGUUUGCCCAAAUAAAAGAAGUAAAACAAAGUUUUAUGAUUCUGAUGGAGACCUACCCAACACGGCAAACAAGAUGCAACUGAAUCUUGCCACUCAUACAUCGACUUUUUUUUAUAUAAAAAAUUCUUGGAACUUUGGUAACACUCAAAAUGUUGAUAUGUGAGUUUGCAAUUUUUUCGUAAUUUUCUACUAAACAGGCCCGGCGUACAAUAUCAACAGUGCUUGGACUUUCAAUAGCGUUGUGAUUUUUGACAUUGAGGGGGUCUGAUCGUUUCAUGUCAAAAAGUUUUGCUCCAUUCCAGAGGAUUUUUAGGAUUUAGUGGGUCGAACUACAAGCAGAGGACCCACUCCGACGUACGCAUGUCGAAGAAGUUCUAAAUGAAAAUACAAAUCCCAAAGAUGCAGAGAAAACUAACCCGGUUUCUUCUCCUCAUUUUGAAAACAACUGCAACGACAAUCAUUCCGAGAACAAGAAACCACAUGGACAGUUUUGCCGUCGACGAACCGUGGACGGAAACAGCAACUGCAGCACCAAACGUUCCGCCAAAAACAAACUUCCUAAACGGUUUUGCCCACGUCCAACCCAUUGGGAAAUCAACAACUGCAAGAACCGUCAUUCUGAGAAAAGGAAACACCACGGCCAUUUUUGCCUUCGUCGAACCCACUGCGAAACCAACAACUCAAACGACAAUCAUUCCGAGAAAAAGAAACACCACAGCCAGUGUUGCCUUCUUCGAUCGCACUGUGAAAAUGAGAACUGCAACAACAAUCAUUCUGAGAAAAAGAAACACCCGAGAUGGUAUUGCCGUCCUCGAAUCCACGGCCAGCUCUCUCUCUCUCUCUCUCUCUCUCUCUCACACGCGCAGAGGCCCAGGAGGCCUAUAUAUAGACAUCAGAUGCCUUUAAUACAUGACCAAGACGGUUGACUUCUGGGCAUCCGCCCCGCUGUUGGGGUUGGGCGACGCCGAGAAAAUAUCACGCGAUGCCAAUCACGCCGCCGUGUUGACUGGGCCGGCCCAAUCAUGAGGCAACACGUGGCUCCACUUGAAGCCGGGGCCCCACUUUUAUUUGGAGUCACGCUUUUGUCUCCCCACGUUUCUCUCUUCAUCAAUUGCUUCGUACUUUCUCUGGCCAUUUACACGAAGAAGCGCCCUCCCCCUCUCUCCUUCAAAAUUGUCUCCUUCUCUUCAUCGAAUCCGACUUUUCUUCUCACCCAAGCCACACGAAUCUUAAAAUCACCAAAAAUAAUAAUAAUAAUAAUAAAAAAUAAAUUCCACUAAAAAUUCUAAACUUUAACAAUAUAAUAAAUUUAUCCCGAAUUAUUUUAUAAUACAAAAAAUCUUAAAUUUUAUUAAUUGUAACACAUUUAUCUUAAAUUUUUUUCAUCAUAAAAAAUUACAAACUUAUAUUCACGUGACACAUUUACUCCAAAUUAUAGGGUACUUUCAUCUUUUACCUUUCAAUUUUUCCUUUUUUUUUCUUUUUUCUUCUCCUCUCUUUAGAGAAGAAGAAAGAAAAGAAAAGGAAAAAAAAUUAAAAAUUAAAAGACAAAAAUGCCCUUCAACAAUAAAGUUUGGGUAAAUAUGUUACAACUAGUAAAGCUUGGGGUUUUUUGUAUCUUAAAAAAAAUCAUGAUAAAUUUGUCACAUUAAAUAAAAUUUAGGAUUUUGGGUGGCUUUUUUCUAAGAAUGAAAGGGAGGCCAAACUUUGUCAUGUCACUUCUUUGACGCUUGUAUCGACAUUUGCCAUUCAAUCCUCCAUCUACAGCAGAGAGAAUCUUAAGCAUGAAAAAAAGAAAAGGCAAGCCAAACUUUGUUAUUAACGAGAUUGUCAAAAGCCAGAAGAGAAGCACUCACGAAAUCGAGUGAAACCAUCAUAUUGCUCCACCUGAGAAAAAAGGAAGAUACUUUGAUCACUUAUUUUAUACUUAAGAAGAAAAAUAUAAUUAACAUUACAGCAUAUGUUAGGGUAUUUAAACAUCAACUUAUCAAGAAAAAUAUAAUUAACAUUACAGCAUAUGUUAGGGUAUUUAAACAUCAACUUAUCAAGCAUGACAACAAAAGUAAAAGCUACUCCAAUUAGGUUCCAUCGGCAACAUUUACAUAUAAGCAUACAAGUUGCAAAAGAAGAAUGGGGCAUAUGAAAACCAUGACUUUGACAUCUGGAUCCACAGAUGGUACAAUGAUUCUAUCGAUGGGCAGAUCUUUCACUUCAUCUAGGAAACACUCUAUCAAUGGUACAGCUAGAAUGGGAUUCUAGCUUUGAUUCCCAAAGCUCAUCAUAUGUGCGAGUUUUGUAAAGUUGAGACUUCCUGGAAUGCAUCUCUCUAAUGCUCAUCCUCAUUUUGCGAAGAAAUAAAUAUAGAAGCAAUUUUGUCAUCCCCAUUGUAUCAAAUACAAUGACCUGAGCAUAGUGAUAUUGUUAAAUGGGUACAAUAUGACAUCAUUAAAAUAAAGAAUACUCCCAUCGAUACCUUGUAAUCAAGUGCGUCCAAAAUAUGCUCCUUGAGAAAAUGAUGAACAACUUGAAAAUGCAUGUCAUGAGGAGCAACUACAUAGGACUAGUUAACUUGUAACGACACGUAAAAUACAUGUACAGCUAAUCAAACAUAAAGAGGAACUAUGGAUAUAUGACACAUGCAAUAUGAUCCUCAUGCUCCUCAUAAUUAGUUGAAAAUAGUAAAAAAGUGAGAAAUGAAAUAAAUAUAAUAGUAAAUUAGUCCAUUAUUAAUACCCAUGGUUGUGUUGUAACCACCACGCACAUUUGGAAUAUAAUACAUGACUACGGAUAAAGGGCAAUCUUGGCUCACUCAUGGUUCCAUAUUUUGACACUUUAAACUACUCCAUCCCAAUAUGCCUUCUCAUGAUGAGAGUUAGAGUGACCAUAGCAAACUUAACAGCUCGAGACAAGACCCGAGGAGAAAUUUAGAUGUCUUAGACUGCUCAUGAUGAUCAACAUUCAGCAGAACACCACAACAUAGCUGGGCACGAGUCUCCACACAACCGACAUUUACAAAGUCAAUGAAAGCAUGUUCUCUUUUUCAAACAAGCUGAUAUAUCUAGCGAACCUACACUGUUAUGAUGAAUCACAGAAAUGUCAUGAAAAACAGAGUUUCUAUGAUUCCAAGAUUCAAAGAAGUAGUAAGUAUCAAUUUUACCUCUUUUGGCAUGGUUGCAGAAAAUAGAAGACUUUUUGACGAAGAAGACAGUAAAAAAUAGAACGCUCUCUUCUUCUUUUUUUGGCCAGUUUUGCAUUUCUUCACUUGCCUUCUUUCUUUUAGAAUUUUUCUUCCUAUUAAGCAAUGGUUUUUCGAGUUUACCUUGGUUCAACCAGUUUCCCCUUUGACCUGUUUUUGGGUUUUUUACCAAGUACAGGUCCGAGUGUCCAUAGCACCGGACGGCCAGCCAUUACCCAGAUGAAUCUGUCAAGCUUGCGAGUUCUGUUUGAUUUUAUAGAACAUUGUCUAUGGAUCCAAAUGAAGGAAGUUAACAUGCAAUUUCUUCUCACAAAGUUCUCCAGAAGUUCCAUUCAAGAUCAUUAUGGCAUAAAAUAUCACAGUUUCUCAUAUAUAUAGAGAAACAAAGUUCCAGCGCUCUCUAAUCGCUACUCAAAGGCUCUCCAAUGUCAUUCAGAUGGAAGACAUAGAGGACCAAUAUUUAAAGAUUUGAAUAGAUAAUAAAGAAGUGAAAAUGAAAUUCAGAGUCCUUCUCAAUGGGAUGUGUGAAAAAGAAACGAAUGGAUCGGAGCACGGAUCCUAACAAUCAUCUAUUCAAUUGCUUAAACACUUUAUAUGGAGGAUCUCAUUUUAAAUGUAAGGCCCUUGGCAACUAAUAUGAAAAAUUGCAACGACCUUUUUGUACGUGCUCUGGCAAGUACAUACACUAAACAUAGCACGUUAAAUCUACAUCUUCGCAAUAGCAACUAAAAUGUGCAUUGCCUAACUAACUUUUUUAGUCAAACUUUCUCAAUGUAUGUUGACAAUGCUGAAGCAUCAUGGUUCACAGGGGAGCUCAAGUUAUGUUCUCUUGCAAUAUCUUUUAGCAACUGUUCUCUAUAACAGCAACUUCAUUUUGACAUUAUUUCCACAACGUAUGAAGAAAAGUUCACAAUUCAACAUCAGUCAUUAAUAAUAUCCCUAAGAACGAACCUUUGAAGUGGAAAAAAUAAUAAAUAAAAAAAAGAUGCACUAGCACAUAUUUUACAUCUCAUCGCAUGAGAAGAUUGCAGAAAUUGAUUCAUAUGAACACGUAGGAGUUACCUACUAAGGUACAAUUUUCGAUGAUGCAUAGCUUUUGAUCAAAUGCCUUCUUGUUUGACAUCUGAAGAAGUCAGAGAGCAUGCUUCCGAGAGCAUGCUUCCAAGAACUUAGGUGUGGUCACAUAAAAACGGAUUAUGAUAAAAUAAGAAAACAAGAGUAACAACAAACUGUAUUUGACGAGACGAAAAAAGACUUUUCAGUGGCAAUAGCAUAUAAAGAUGAUGAAAUAAACUGGCAGGUGGUUCUCCUAAGUUAUUCGAUUGAAUUGGAUCCUUUAGAUAUAAGUGAGGAAAAAUGGUCAACUUGGUGAUGAACGUAUUCGGUCAUAAACUUUUUGCUAAUGUAAUCUUAAACCUUUUUAUGAAAUGUUAAUAUAGUUAUUCCAAUUAAUUUUGACUUGAAUUUUCCAGAUUAUUUGGGUUCCCCCCCCCCCCCCCCCUCUCUCUCUCUUUAUGGUUACUGUAUCUUGUUCGCUGUUCGUAUACCGUUCACCUCUCUGGGUAAACUCCUCCAUCUUUCCUCUACUUUCAUCAGUCAAUUACCGGCAAAGUAGUCCAGAAAGAAAAAUCCGAACCCCUUUCCCAACAUUUUUCCAGAUCAUUCCUUCCUCACGACUUACACCAUCAAACAUUUUGGGUAAAAACCUCCGGUCGCUGAAAACGACCUAGAUGGAGAAGACCGACUCCUCGAGAUGCUAAUAGUUGUCAAAUUCACGGUUGAAUUUGAUGGCCCGGGGUACGUUUCGACGAAACAUCGCUCUUGAUUUGCGGUUUGCGCGGAUGGUAGCUUUUCGGUUGGAGCGGGGCUUGAAUUUAGAGCCGUCUGUGUUGAUGCUUGAAAGCAACGGCGCUCGAGGCCUUACGGUUCAGCGGGAUAAUGAUGUGGACGAGAUGAGGUGCAAUGUACAUUCGCUCGGUCCUUUCAUUGAGGAACAGAAAGAACGUUUCUCGUACGUUUCUCGUUUCUCAUGUUAGGGUGUAAGAACCAGAGAUCGUUCAUCUUAUUCUCUCAACUCUUCCGGCUAAAGAGGGACAACGAAAGAGGUGAAAGGAACCUCUGGAGUCUGGAUGGGAGUGGAUCGGGGCGAGAUUUGAGGUCGCCGAGCCUCCUUCAAGGCCGUGGAAGCGUCGUUGUCCAUGGUGGCUUGACUUUAGAUUCGAGGUCGUCGUCCGUGAAGCUUGUUGGCCGGAAGUCUCGUGAAGGUUUCCCUCGUCCUCACCCCUUCUUCAGCUUCAAACAUGAAAAUUUCGCUUCAUUUUUCAAAAAUGAAACUUGAAGAAAUGAACAGUAAAAAAUAAAAAAAUAAAUAGAAAAAAUAGAAAAAUAAGUGAAAACUCUAUUGAAAUUUCACAAUUGAGUUUAUCCACAUUGUGCCUCACAGGACCGUUCACAAUAACUGUACCAUCAGAUUAGUAAAUUCAAGCUAAAAUUUGCCCAAAAAACUCUAUUGAAAUUUCACAAAAAGACUUAUAAUUACAGAUUAUUGCCAGAAGACGUAUAUUGAUUUUUUUGGUCAGCAAGGCAACACAAGCCCAUGCAUUUUCUAUCAGGAUCAUUUAGUACUAAAAUCUUUUACCAUCUUCGGACAAAUCCUGUUCUGGUUUCGGGAUUACAAAGAAUUUUGUUGUUCAAUUUGCACAAUUUCGGCAGUGAAGUUAGAGCUUCGUCCCUUGAUGACGACCGUAAUCUUUGCCUUCCUUACUCGACCUUCUCUCUCCUUAAGUCUUGUAAUCGCAUCGAGCUUCAUAAGUUCGCUUGCGCAAUCAAACAUAGUUGCUUGCGUCUUCUUCCUAGUAUCACAAAUGGAUUUAUGUACUCUCCUCUUCUUUUCCAUGAAACUCAUUCUAAUCAUGAUUAUCAAUACAGGCAUGACGCUGUCGAGAAAUUUAACAUACGUGUCACGUUAGUACACUCAACCAAUUUAAAUAUCAUACGUCUUCUCAAUUAUUUACAUCUUCCUCCACCCUUCCCGGAGGAGCACAAUCACUCCAUCAAUUCGUCAAUAGUCCAGGCCAACGACUCUAAAUCAUUGACUCUUCAAUUUCCGAAGCACUAUGGAGAAGUUGCUUGGAACCUAUGCAUCUGCUUCUUUGACUUGACUUGAUUUUUCUAUUAAUUUAAAAAAAAAUAGAAAAGAAAACCAUGGAGAAUGUCUUCAAGACACAUUCAAAUAAAUUUAUCACUUUCAAUACACAUCAGUAGAGGUGAGCAUGGUCUGGGUUGGGCCGGUCCACCCCCUAACCCUAGAACCAAUCCGCACAAUGCCGGUCCUCAAUUUUUAGGAACGAGGACCGAUCUUAUUGAGCUUGGAACCAAGGACCGAACCGACCCAAUGGGUUCGGUUCAAUUCUAGGAUCAACUCAAAACCAACUGAUAAUUUUUUUAUUUCAUUUUUUGUACUCCUUAAAAAAGCGAUUGAGGACCAGACUGACCCAAUGGAUUCGGUCUGGUUUCAAGGUCAAUCCAGGCUAACCAAUAAUUUUUUAUUUCAUUUUUUGUACUCCUUGAAUGGGUAACAGAGGAUCGUACCGACCCAAUGAGUUCGAUAAUGAGUAAGGUCAGUUAAGAAAGGCAAGCGGUGAGAGUCAAGUGGGGUGAGCUUUAAAUAGAAUGAGCAUUGAAUGUCGAGUGGGGAGCAACAAGCCAAGCGAGUAUCGAGCGACGAGUGGCACGAGUGACCCAAAGCGAACAAGGCGAUGUCAAGUGGCGAGUGAAGAAUUUUUUUUCGAUUUUAGCAAAUUAAAGACUAAAAUGAGAAAUAAGACAAAAGAGAACGAAUAUUAUAGGAGAAUGCCAUAAGGUGCUUUUUCGGAUGCCGUGUGUGACAGCUUGAAUUUUCAGAUUUCGUUUUCGAUUAAAUAAAUCGGGCAUUUUGUCGACGCGCUGAUAGUGCUAUUCUCUGAGCUGAUCACUCACGAGAUAACUAGACUAUCUAGGUAAGCAAUUAAGGAAUUUAAAUGCAAUGGAUUUGAGAAUUUGACUAGAAAUCAACUGCUCGACUGUGUUGAUAUGCAUGAGUCAUUAUGGCACCGUAAAAAAUCGAUCAAAGACCGGAGAUAGAUCGAUUUGAUUGAGAUAUGUGAUUAGUGCAUGGGUGAUUCCACCUAAGCAUUAGACCGAUUUUUUUCAUUUAUGUACUUGGUGUCCGUAUUUGAAAUCUCGAGAUUUUCACGACAACCGGGAAUCGUCAAUGUGUCGAAAAUGCACUAUGUGACUCGAGAUAAAUCGAUCACGGAUCAAUUGCACUAAAAAUUCAUAAAAACUACAUGAUAGAUUAGGUCACGCUAAAAGCGCGCCAAAGUGAAAUUAACCGUGAAUGUGAACCCGAUUUCAGAAAUUGAAAGUUCUAUGGUGUCACGAGCUAUUUUAGGAACGUUGACUCAUUCUCCCAAAAUUUUUCAGAGAUUUCGAGACUUUUACGGAAAUUCGAUUCGAACGUUGCGGAAAUUAAUGGAAAUUCGAAUGGGCCGAAUUGAAGUGAAAUUUGGACUUCCAAACUAAGCUACUAGGUGAUGGGAAUUUGUGGAAACGUGGGAUUUUUUUUCGAUGAAAUUGGUCAUCAAAUUUGGAGAACUUGUGAAGAAAUUGAGGUCAAGAUUAUGAAAUUCGGAGCUAUGGAAGGGAGUAGUAAAUUUGGCUUCAAAUUGGAUUAUACGGUGGAUUUAUCUACGAGAAAGAAGUAAGAGACAAAGUAGGAUAGGAUUGAAGGUGAUUAGGGGACAAGCCUUUAAGUGGGUAGAUAAGUAUUGACUUUCUUUUCUUUUCUCUCUCAAGCUUCUCGCCUACGCCUGCAGCUGUUCCCCUCCAUCACCGCCUUUGAAGAAUUCCGCUCCAUCACGUUUUCCUCUCUCCACUUUCCCCCUUCGAACACCCUGCCUUUCUUCCCUGUCAUUUUUCUCUCUUCCACCGAUCGCUUCAUCCCACCAUUUCAGCAACCCUGCAGCUGUCCCACCAUCGAUUUCCUUCCAUCUUUCCCCACUCACGCCGGUCAACAAACCAGCCACAGCUCCUCCUUCCUUCGUGUCUUCAGCCACGCGUCUCCACCGAUCCACCAGCGUGCGUUUUCUCUGCAGCAAACCGGUCAACACUCAGCAGCACAAAGCAGCCGGUGUUGACCCCAAACAUCCACGCGGCCAACGCACGCCAGCUCACGUCCUCCACCGAAACCGCUUCUGCCCAGCCUGCUGCCACUCGCCCGUUCGUGUCUUCGGUUCCAGCGUCCGUCGAAGUUACUCGUCCCUUCAUCCGUUGACGCCAACUCCUUCGUAGCUGCUCCUUUGAUCGGCCCAUCUCCAGCAGCUCGCCCAUGCACGAAGCUGCACGCGUGCAAUCGAGCCCAGCGUUUGGCCCAUUCUCCAGCAGUAAUUCCAGCGUCAGUAAAGCCUUCUUGCAGCCCGCAUGUUCAGCCUACGUGAGUGUUCAAGUCCAGCGAAGCCCAUCUCCUUUAGCAGCCCAUAAUUUGAAAUUUUCAGCCCGUGAAGCCAAGGCCCAGCUUUUUGAAGCCCAGUGAAUUUUUGAGGCCCAAGCCUAGUGUCUGCAGUGAGCCCAGUCCAAUGCAAUAAUAAAUCUCAAUUUGGGCUGAGAUUUGUUGGGCCCAUUUAGGCCCGGCCUGGGAGUUCGCCGAGGCCGCCGAAAAUUAGGAUUUCGGCCGCCGUCACGCCGUCAUCACAGUGAACCGGUUUUUGCAAUUAACCAGUGAGCUUAUACUCUAAACUUUUCUUAGUAGGCUAAUGACGUUUAAUAGGAGUGUGCAACCGAUCCGGGUCAACCCGGUUCUUGGAUCGACCCACCCGGAAAACAAGGUCGGGAAUCGGUUCUAGUUGAAACCGUCCCGAGAACCAGUUCCCAAAGUUCAGACCCUAUUUAAACGGGUCCGGGAAUGGGUUCCAAGGGAAUACCCACCUAGGAACCGGAUCGAUCGGACUAGUUCGAGAACUAAUUUGAGAACCGGUUUUUAAGGCAGCACCCCAAAAGUCCAACCAAAACCCUAAUUCGUAUUUUGUUUCUAUCUUUACUCUGCUUCCGCUCUUACCUCCGUCAAUCCAUCUGAGCAUUGACUCUGCUUCUGCUCGCCCACCAUCACCUUCCUCCGGCGACACCCGCAGCAACACCAGCUUCGUCAACAUCAUCGAUCUCCAGGGCGGCAAGGUGGGCUUCGGCGCCGUUGCCCCCGAGUCCAAGCUCGACUCGUCGUCCUCUAGAUCAGCGCCCCCAUCUUGGUCCUGGCCAUCCUCACCGCCCUGAUGCCAUCGGCCUCGGACACGAACGUGACGGCGCUACUUGAGAAGGCCGGGUGCAAGACGUUUGCGGGCCUCCUCGUCUCGAGCGGGUCCUUGAAGACGAGCAACGCCCCGAUCAGCACCCUCUCUCCAUCCUCCACCUCACCACCGCAUCAUCGUAACUCUCUCUCUCUCUCUCUCUCUCCGCGCGAUGCAUGCGAUAUUCUUCUCGGUCGAGCGCCCGAAGUUCGUCUUCUACCGUGAUCGAUUUCAAUUGCAGUGGUCAAAACGUGACUCGUGAAUGUCCUGUGCGGGAGCAGGUAAGGUGCGGGCGAUGUCGGCGGAUUUCCUGGCGACCGUGGCUUCUUAUCCCAAUCCCGACGACAAGAUCAGAACCACCGAUCUGAAGGUACUCGAUGAGUUUAACUGUCGUAUCACUCCCCGACUACGAUGCCGCUUCUUUACUUGCUUCCAUGUGCUUUUGGCUACAAGUGCUGGUCGUCUUUGCGCCAUACUACUUUCAAUUGAUAGUGGCUCUCUGCAAUAUUCGUCGGAUUCGAGUGUGUUGCAUUGCCUUUUUUUCCGUAAUGAAUUAGGGGUCUUGUUAAUGGCAUGACGUGUUGAUGCGGAGCGUUUCGCAUGUGCUGCUCUCGAAGACAUUGGGAGAGUAUGUUAUGGUCUGGUUUGUCGGUUUUUCAAGUUCAAGGAGGCGGACAAAAUUGAUUUCUUUGCCAUUAUUGCCAUGUCUUGUUUUGUCUUGAACCCAUUUUGCUUCAGCUUGUUUAUGUGAAGCUUGUAAUUCUUGUUCGUGACAGAGAUAAUAGGAAACUUGUAUUUUCACAACACUGAAGUUGAGUAAAAAUGGAAUAAUUUCUUAUGUUAGACCAUGAAUUACAUAGUGCCAAAAGAUCAGCAUUCUACAUUUCCAAUGCACACCUAAUGAGAGAUUUGAUUUACUAUGUUAGACCAUAAAUUACUUUCUGUCUCCAAAGUUAUGUUGAGAGAUUUGAUUUACUAUGAAAAUUAAUAUGUUUUUGUAAAAUCCUAAUGUUAUAUAAUUUUUUUUUUUAGUUUUCAGUCAAUGGAUCAAGAUAAAGACGUAUCAAUGGAAGUAGAGGGACAUAAUGAAAUGAGUUCACUCAUGGAAUUGCCAUUCCAUUGGUCCAAAUUUUAUACAUGUUCCCAAUGAGUUUGGUGGAAUGAUGUGCUUGGUCCGGCCUUUUUGUUUCAGCAGACAACUCAUCUAGACUUGCUUCUCUAAGCUUCAGCGGACAACUCAUCUAGACUUGCUUCUCUAAGCUAAAUAUAAAGAUACAACAAUUUUUAUGCAAAACAGGUUCCAAUAUAAACAGGGUUAACCCUGUUCCCGGACCGGAAAAAUAGGGUGAGUCUGGAACAGGAUCCAAUGCAAACAAGGUCAGGAACAGGGUCCAAAAAAAGAGAACCGGUUAUAACAAAGUUGAGUACAGGGUUCUAGACCCUACCCACCCUUGAUCCGAUCACCCCUAACGUUUAAGGGAUGUUUAGAUUUAUUUAAUUAGAAAUUAGGUGGUUAGUUAGAUUAAAUUAGAAAUUUAAUUAAUUAAUUUAGCAUGUUAGGUGGUUAGCAUGAUUUAGAUAAAGCCUAGAUAAAUUGCACUACUUGUUCAAAAGGGUUUGGGAAUUUUCCGAGUCCGUAUUGGUAAAUAGUUUAAUAAUUUUGGCCUAGGUUAGUAUUUUUAGAAAUUAAAUUGAUUUAUUUAAUUAAUUUUCGAAAUUAAUUAAUUAUUAAUUAUUCUUCCGGAAAUUAGGCUGGGAUAGCCGGUGAAUGGAAUUUCGUACUAAUUACAAUGGUGUAGUUAAUUUCUGCAAUCGAGUGCUAAAUUGUGAAAAUUGAGUGUUGAUUGGAAAUUUGGUCAAUUAUUCUAAAAUUUAUGAAUUUCGAUAUUUAUCCAGAAAAUCCCGGAUGUCGGGUUUUAAACAUUGAAAAUGGUUUUAUAUACUAUAUAAACCUGUGGGAUUUUGAAAAGAAUGUUACAAAUUUUCCGGUUCCAAUUUGACCGUAUACCCACACACGACUAUUUUCACUGAGUGUUUUUAAUACGAAGAAAAUGGGCUGGAAUCACCAUUUUAAUUGAAGCAUUUGAAUGCAAUGCACGGUGUCCUGGGUCGAGAUUGAGUGAUCGUGUGCCAAUUAAGAGAACCCGUCCCCGAACUGUAUCGAAUGGACGUUACCUUAUAUGGGAUACCCACUUAGUGGGAUUUGGGUCGCAAUAGAUUCUGGAUCUAUACUCAUUCGAGGAAGUCAUCUCUAAGAGAGACGUAACCGUGCUUAAUGGGAUGAGACGAUGGUUGGCUACGCUAGUAGACCGCCGAAAUUCUAGUAGGUUGUACCCUCAAGUGGGUGAAAUUAUCAAUUGGAACACAUGUUGAGUGAAAUAGAUGCGCCGGAUUAUGGGACAAAAUUGUGUAAAAUGGUAUAGGACGUGUCAUAAUGAUUUGGCCUUAUAAUCUGGACCCUGUAAUUUAUUGAGUUGAGUGAUGCGUUUCAAUUAUUGUGUGUAUCAAUUCUAUACCUAAUGUAUAUGAACUGUGUUGACCUACAAGGAGGAACUGAGAUGAGAUAAGUCAUCUAUGCUAUAUACGUGAUUGUGUGGUUAGGACGCUCUUAGCGUAUUUUCCUCCUAAUUGGGAUUUAGAGCUUAUACUUGCUAAGAUUAUAUCCCACCCCGUUGUGGGACAAUAUUUUCAGGGUCGUCAAGUGGAGGAUCGGGAGCCGAGAGGAGGUGAUGUGAAAUGUAGGUCAGCUAGGACCGUCUUUUUUGGAAAGUCAAUUUUUGUGGUCUUUUGGUCAUAGACCUUGUACAUGAUUAUGUGAAUAUAAAGGCAUAUUUGUUUGUGAAAUUGUUGUCCUGCUUUUCUAUCCCGAGAUAAUUACUGUCAAGGGAUUUCUUUUCGCUUCCGCAUGUGCAAUAAAAUGGAAAGGGUCGACGACUCGUCCUAAGAAGUCGCAAAUUAUUAUCGACCAGAUAGGGGUGGGCAUGCGCUCGGGGUUUGGGAUGUGACACCGUGAGAACUCCUCAUAAAAAUAUUUUUCUCCUUCAUAAAUUAUGACUAUUGAUGCCAUAAAAGACAUUAAAAACCUAAGUUAUUAAAUAACAAUGUAAAAUUACUUGAACUCCUCACUAAAAAACUGUUUAAUGUUGUUGAUGCCGCUUAUUUUAAGGUUUUAUUUUUAUAAAAAAAUUAUAAAAAUUAUUUUAUAUAUAGUUAUGGUAGAUUCGGAUUGGACCGACCCGGAACUCUCAAAGGACUAAAGACUGACCUGCACAGUGUUGGUCUAGGAAUUCUAAGACUAAGGAUCGACCUAAUCUCCCUGGAAACUAGACCAGUUGCAGUGAGCCGAUCCAGGGUUGGUCCACGGUUGACCCUAGACCGAUGCUCACCCCUACACAUCAGACUUCACUUUUCAAUAUAUAUAUCUCAAAACAAUUUCCCAAACUAAACUUCUCCAUGACACAUCAUGCCUAAAGAUGAAAUCAUACCCUCCCAUCCUAGUCACUUUUUUUUGUCCUUACAUUAAUAUUUGUUAACAUUUUACAUUCCUUUUAAUUCCGCAUCGCGUUACAAAUUUCUGGGCAAUGAGUUCUUUAUGAUCGAAUAGUUUAUUCAAUGAUGUGUUCUCUUUUUUAUUUCAUUGUUUGAUGACCUUUUUAAUAUUGUGUUAAUGCUCAGUAUAUGAAGGGUCAAAGUAGAUAAUAUGUACAAAGGCAACACGUGCUUUCUAUGAUACUUCAACAGUGCUUAAAGAGAGAACAUAUUUAAGAACUAAUUCAUCUUUUCUUCUACCUCUGACCCAAUUUCAUUAGCCAAACCACUUAUGCUUGUGUAACUCGUAAUUUUUGGAAUUGCUUCCUAAAUCAUUUCAUAGGAUGAAUGCACUUUUCCUUCUAAUAUGGUCAUUCCAAAACUACGUGUGUUAUGUACUGUGCACACGUUGUGAAACCCUACUCCCUCACUCAUAUAUUCCCAUCCCAGCCUCUAAAUUGCAUGGUCCCAUUUAUUCUUGUGAUUUUUCCUUCUUAUUUUUCACCCUUGAGAAAGAAUUUGCUGGUCUAGAAAGAAAAGCUUUAAAACCAAUAGAGAAUGAACAAGGAAUAAACUAGAGAUCAUUUUGCUUGCAAGAUGAAGCAUGAUGUCUAUUAGAGAAUUUAAAGGUUCAUGUGCUAUUAAAUUAGGAGUGAAAGCUUCAUCCUUCCAUGCAUGGCCCUCUCCUUUGUAACUUAUUGAAUACUCGUUUAUUUCUAAUUAUGAAAAAAUUACCAAAACAAUCAUAAAUAUAUUGCAACAUUUUCAAUCCAGUCAUAAAUAUUUUGCAAUUGUGUCAAUUCAAUCCAUCUUGCUAAAUUUAGCCAACCGAGGUUGACGUGGAUGCCAACUAACACUAACAUGGUAAUUUUUUAAUAAUAUUUUUUCGAAUUUCUUAAUUAUUUUUUAUUUGUAUUUCUUCUUUAUUAUUUUUUAUUAUUUUUUCUAUGACCACGGCCAAAGGUUACAACUAGUGAGACCUCACUGGCCACUAGUGAAGCCUCAUCAUCACGGGCGAGCUCAACCUCAUCCAAUGACAACAAGGGCGAGCUCGCCCACAAUGAUGAGCCCUUGCCAAUGUCCAGCAAGGUCUCACUUGCUGCUAGCCGUAACCUUUGGCCAAUUCAACGACUAGCCUGAAGAAGAAGAAUAAAAAGAAGAAGAAAAGAAAAUAUAAAAGAAGGAAAAAAUAAAAGAAAAACAAAAAUUAAUAAAAAAUCGAAAAAAAUUAUUAAAAAAUUGCCACCUUAGCACUGACUGGACGGCUCGACCAGCAUUCACAUCCAGCCGGUCAAAUUUGGACGGAUGGACUGAAUUAACAUAAUUAUAAAAAAAAAAGAGUUUAUGAUUGAAUUGGCCAAAAAAAUAAAUUAUAACUUAAUUGAAAAAAUUGCAAUAGGUUUAAGAUUGUUUUGGUAAUUUCCCCUUCUAAUUACUGCAGAUCUUUAAUGCAAUAAUCAUAAUAUAAUAGUAGUUAAUUUGAUUUGAAAAAUGCUAGCACAAGAAAAAAAAAGAUUCAUUAUCCAAUUAUAGUGUGUAGUAUAGAAAGGACGCAGUAAAAAAUUAAAUUGCAAUAACUAAUAAUGUAAAAAAUUGAUAAAGUGAAAGGAGAAAAGAAAGAAAAAUCAAUCUUUUAGACCAUUUAUUCGUAUAUAACCAUUCUAUGAUAUCCUCUUUCCAUAGAAUAUGACUUUUAUUAACCUAAAGGAUGAAGGCAAUGAGAAACUUGCUUCGGAUCCAAAAAUAUACGGAUACAGAUCUAUUUCAAGGUUAGUGCCUAUUUGUUUUGCGGAAAAUAAAUAAUUUGAAAAUAUAAUAUAUUAGCUAAUUAUUUCAAAUGAUUCAAACGAUCAUUUUUAAGAAAAUAUUUUCCAAAUCAUUAUACGAAGCACAAAGCUAAGUGUAGGGAAAUAUAAGUGUACACAUAUGAAGUGUCAAGUGAUAAUAUGUUAUAUCUUAAUCUCAAAGAGGAAAAGAAAAAUACAUAUAAAUCGCAGUUCAAGAGCCAUUUUGUCUUCUGCCAACCACUAUGUCAUUCAAUUUGGCUCCUCAAAUAACAAUCCCACCUCAUUUAUCGUACAAAAGUACUAUAUAAAAGAUGAUAAAUGAAAGCAAUUAUCAAUUAAGAAAAUAUGCCAAUUCUGUGGUAAAGGGCUGUUGAACCAGUGGGGACUGGGCAGGGACCCCAACUGAGUAAUACUUACCGAUGUAUACAUUGAAACUCUUAGAUGUGAAAAAAAUCAUCUAAAUCAUCAAAAAGAAAUAUAGAUUGUUGCAAAAAUUGUGACCGAAGAGAAUGUAGGUGGAUCAGAAUACAUUUAUUCAAGCGAAAUGUAUUGCAUUAAUUAUUCAUAUUCAAUAUAAUAAAAGUCGAAAUUGACGUAUUGUGCAUAGCAAUUUAUAUACAUGCUAAUCAACAACAUUAAUUGUUUGAAAAAAAAAACAUAUUAAUUGCAACAAAUCGCCAAUUACAGAUUCGAUCGGUUCUUAAACAAAAUCAGCAUUAAUGACUCAAUGAGCCAAAGAAUAGGAACCUUUAACUUUUUUAAUUGUUACAAUACUUUUACCUUUUUCAAUGAAUAUGUAUUUUUUAGUAAUAUGGAGGAGAAGCAGAAGUAAAAUUAAGAUAUGACUCGACAAAAAGUUCUGUUCUCCAUGUUUUGUUAUUAUUUUUUUAUAUUUACGGAUGAAUACAGAGCAUAUCCCAUCACGAUGAACCCGGAUUGUAUCCAGAGGUGCGAGUGGGAAGAAAAUCGAAUAAGAAGAGGAGAAGAGAACAAUGGAUGAAAAGUAUCCUUUCCCAAGCAGCAGAUCAAUUCAAAGGCGCAUCUCUCUCCCUCUCUCUCAACAUCGCAAUCAUCCUACUCAAUUUCACGAUCACGAGCGCACUCUAUUGUAGUUCCUUCUGAUUAGAUCUCCGUCAAAUCCAUUUCACAUCGCCAUCAUAUAAUGAACUCAUGGAGAUUUGGGAACCCGAUGAUUCGAUCAACUGAAACGAAUGAAAGCAAAUUUGGAGGCGGUGUUGAGGACGAAUCUCACCAGCAGAGCUGAAAAAGGUAAAGGCUGGUGAUGGCUCACAUCCACGGAGUCCUUGCAAUGUUGCCCAUGGAUGCUGGAUCUUGUUUUUCUUCUUUGUCUUCUCUUUCUCAGCAUGAUCGAAGAGUUAAGUGGCAGUGGACGGCUUAAGGAUGCAUCCUGCAGGCUACAAAUAAUAGUAAAUGGUGUUUUGGGGAAUCACACCUUUAUAUAAACAGUACAGAUAGGAUGCCAACAAAAUAUGCAGCAAUUCGAGUGUAGGCAUUACCUUUGGCAAUGGUUUUGAUGCGAGAUUCUUGAUGCCGCUAACAAUCACCGGACGCCAAGAAUUUGCCUGGGGUAUUUUGUGGCCCUGCGCAGAUCCAGUGCAAUACACACAUAAGGAAUUCAUGGAACCAAUAAGAGCUAACUUUGUUUCAGAUAAAAAGAAUUCUAAACAGAAUUGGAGCAUGUACCUUAGAGAGGUCGCUCUCCAGCUUCUCAGACUAAAAGGAGAUGUCCUGUCGAAGAUUCGAAAGUACAACAGUAGUUCGUACAGGACAGAGACUAUUAAGCCCCCAGGCAUAUGUCCUGUUCAACACGUUGGUCUAAUUCUGGUAGACUAGGACGAGCAGAAAAGAUACCUUCCACCUUCCUGAGACGGCCUAAUUCUUCGAGCCCAUUAAGGCUUAUUAUCCGGUUGCAAUGAAAAACUUUCAGGACUUCCAAAAGCUUUAAAUCUUCAAGACCAUCAAUCUUUGCUAAAUCACAGUCCUUUAGUUCUAGUUCUGACAGCUGUUUCAGACUAGAAAAUUUUGGCUCUGGAAUCUUGCAGUGCUUGAGACGCAGAGUCCAUAAGCUUGAGGACGAGGGAAGUUGUGUGAGGACUAGCUCCUUCAUAUAGGAUGAAGAGAGUUCCCGGAGAUAAGUAAGGGCACUAAAAUUCCUGGGGAGUUUGGUAACAUUUGGAAGGGACAAUUCCAAGGUCUCUACACUUGUUAAACUCGUGAUCCACCCAAUAUUUGGGAUCUGAUUCGAUGACCCUGCUUCUGGCUGCUCAUCAUCAUUCAAGCAUAGCUCUUUUAGAUUCAUCAGAUUUGUCAAUUCAGGGACUGCCAUGAUUUUAGAUCCCCAGUAGAGAGUGAGUAAACUGGAGGGUAACUUUGGUAGUGCUUGAAGUUAUUUGCAUUUACGUACGUCUAGGGUUUGGAUGCAAGAUAGAUGGCAAAUCCUCUGAGGCAGCCCGGCCACAUUGGAUGACGAUAAUCUCAAAAUUCUCAAAGAAGAUAGUCCUGAAAUAUCACAAUGAAUGUCCCAUUCCAAAUUUAUGCAGAAAGAGAGAUCUAUCUCCUCCAGGUUCUUUAAGUUCACAAUAUCUUCAGGAAAUUUUGGUAGGAAAGUGUGCGCCAUCUUCAGCGUCUUCAACCUCCUCAAAUUCUCAACUGACUCUGGCAAUUCUGUGAUUUUAGUAAGUGAAAGGUCCAUUACCUCCAGCAGAUCCAGCUUCCCGAUGGAAGUUGAAAGUUGAAUCAACUUCUGACAAUCCCUUAAAGAAAGUCUCUCGAGUGUCCGAGGAAAUUCAAAAGCAAGUGGAAGCCCAUCAAUAUCAGCACCAUCCAAAUCAAGGCUUGAGAGUUUCCUUAGGCGGCCAAUUGUGGAUAUAUCUCGCAAACGUUUACAGUUACAAGCACUAAGUUUUUCAAGAUUCUUCAAAGACCCUUCCUGGCAAUAAAUUUCUUGGAUGCCAGUUCCAUCAAUCAGAAGUUCCGUUAAAAAUUUCAUGCAGUACAGUUCUUGAGGCAACUUCCUGACUUGGCUGCAGUUUCUCAAAUUUAAGGAUCUCAACUUCUUGAGAUUACUGAUGAAUUGCCUAAUUUGAGAUAACCGAGAACAAUCUUCCAUUAUCAACAUCUCUAAAUUGAUGGGAGCUGGAAAGUUCAAUGAUGGAUGCAACUGAACACAUCCUUGUAGGUUCAAGACUUACAAUUUAUCCACCUUCUGCAAUGCAUGUGCAAAAGAAGAUAUCAAACCUUACUCGCUCAUAUCUAUCAUCUUAACACGAGAUUUAAAAAGCAAAUAUUGGCCAUACCUCUCCAAUUCCUUCCCAGAAUUUUGAAACCCUGGUAACUGGACUACAAGACAGAUCGAGAAUCACUAACUCCGUCAAAUGCAUAUUACAAAGCUCAGGAAUUGAAUGGCACUCUCGCCAAUCAAGCCACCUCAACUUCUGAGGAAGCUUCAUAGUAUCUCCCAGGAUGUUAGCCCCGUCCAGUCUGAGGUACCUCAAAUUCGACAUUUCCCAAAAUUGUUCACAAGUAAAACUGUCGGUGCUGCCCUCUUCAACUGUGAGACCAAUGCCUUGGACACUAAUAGUACCCUGUCAAGUCUCGGUUGGGAAAGAACAUACGAGUAAGUUGGAAAACUUUAAUUUCUCUUACUGCUUUUAAUGAAAUGACACAAAUCAUAAUUACAAAAUCAGUAGGUAUCCACUACGCGUUCUAAAUCAUGUUAGAAAAAAAUCCCUUUUUUAUGUUAUCUAUGAAUGGUUUAUCUGAACGCUUUUGUGACCUUCUGAAAAAAAAAUUUAGAGGCUUUGCAUACUUACCUGACCGUCGUUUAGAAAGGAAAGUGCAUCGCUGUGAUUCCAAAACCUGCAGCGCUGAUUAAGAUGUUUCCUCUUGACAAGCUCCCUGCCAAACUCUCUCAACAGAUCGUGCAUUCUUAAUUCAUUAUUUUCUCCAUCUUCCAAGAAAUGCAUGUCGCGAAGUUGAUUUAUUCCUUCAAGAGGAUCGCCAUCCCAAGCCUCCUCCCACAUGUAAGGAGGAAUCCUCUUAUCCUUGCCAAUAAAAAAACAAGCUAUGUCGAGGAAUAUCUCCUUUGCAGUAUCAUCCAAAGAUGUGUAACUGACCUGGAAGGCAGCUGCUACUUUUUUAUGUAGUGGGCGUUUUUUUAAGGAUUUCAACUUGCUACUCCAUAACUCUCUGUUCUUAUUUUUCUUUAAAUAUUCUGCCUGAAGCUUAAUAGCCAAGGGAAGCCUUCCCAGAGCUUCGACGAUGUCUGGGGACAAGAUAUCGCACUCGGAGACAUCUUGGGAAGCAUCCCCUUGAAAAACACAAUUACGAAAGAGUUGAAGAGCAUGAUGAUGACUCAUUGGUUUAACCUCGUACACUUCAGCUGCUCUAUCUUUUUCUUCUUCCCCAAAGUCGAAAACCUUCAAAACAUCUCUUCUAUCUGUGGUCACAAUGAUUCUACUUCCCGGACCAAACCAAGUAAGGUCGCCAGCCAAUGCUUCAAUUUGUUCAUCCUCACGCACAUCGCCAAGCACAAUGAGAACCUUCGUCUUAGAAAAGAGAUAUUUUAUUUUUUUAACUUUACCAGAAAAUCUCAGUGGUUCAUGUAUUUCCUUUUGAAGUUCAGCAAUCAACAGUCCUAGGGAAAACUCGACUCCUUCCGAAUUUAUACCUUUCAGGAAGCUACAUGCAUCGAUCAACUUGUGGAUCUUGUUGAAGACAACCUUGGCAAGUGUAGUCUUUCCAACACCCGGCAUUCUGCAUAUUCCGACAACACGUUUAUCUUCUCCACAUACUUUCAUCGCUUUUCCAUGGCUGUAGACAACACCAAGCUUUGUCAUCAUCUCUUGAACAUGAAGAUCGAUUCCAACUAGUUUGUCGGUCACGUCUUGGUCAUCCUUCCUCAACUCCUGCCAGACACGGGUCAUAACUUUGUCUAGGAGGUCGGUCACAUGCCUGCAAAACAUGAGUGACGAAGCACAAGGACAACAACAGAGUUACCAAAAAUAUUAAGCUGUAGACAAAAAUCAAGCGGGCAUUGAACCGACGAAAAAUAAAUUAAUUUACAAGGGCAGGGGGAAUCUUCAAUUUAAGUGGAGAGCAAGAUUUAAUGCACAGAGCAAUUUUGACAUUGACAUCAUCAUGCUAUCUGCAUAACAAAAGAUCUAGUCAAGGGGGAACGAAGAGCGCGUGGUGGACCAGGUCGGCUGAUCUAACUCCCAGCUAUGUCAUGAGUCGAGUUAAUUUUCAACUGGCCAUUUUAAUCAACUCACUGGUUACUUGAAAGGUAUCAAGAACUACAACCUGUUAAAUUAUCAGCCCAUUUCACAAGAAUAACUUUAAAGAUCUCUCUAGCGUGCAUCAUCAUCGAUGUGAUUAUAUAUGACAUUUAUUAGAAAAGUUUCGGAUUCGUUCUCACACCAUUAUAAACUAUUUUUCUUUCCAUCUAUCUAGGAAAGAAAAAAGAAACCAGAAGUAAAAGAAUUACCCCCCGUUUAUGGUCGCCCGAUCAAAUCCGCUCAAUUCCACGACCUCUCGAAGAACCUCCUUCCAUUUGUCGAUGGUCUCUGAGUCGACUUUUUUAUAUGCAUCAUGUUUAUUGAAGGACGUUGCAAAAUCCCCCUCCAGGUUCUUUACAGCAUGGGGCCUAACAUUAUAGAAAAUUGGGAUAAUAAUCUGUCCAUUUGAUUUUCUGCACUCCCACAUUUGUACCGCCUCCAUAAGGCAACUUCUACGGGAAGCAUAAUCCUUAGAGAAGACGGUUAUUGAGAUCGUCGACUGCUUGAUUGCGUUUUUUAGCUUCGGAUGGAUCUCUUCUCCGGCACGGAGCUCUUCGUCAUCUCUAAAGACUUUGAUUCCUGCCUUUGUCAAUCUGCUAUGAAGGUGAUCUGUGACCAAUGAAGAUAAUUCCUGUCAAACCAAGGAAACUAAAGUAAACAUAGUGUUCCAGACCAAGUCUUUAUGGUUCUGGCCAAAAAAAAAAAAGUUUCUUGGUUCCGAUGGAGCCGAGCCUAACACAGCAAGCUGACUGCAACUGAAUCUUGCAGCUCAUGCAUUUUGGCUGUUUUAAGAUCCAUUAUUUUCAGAACUUUCGUAAUACUCACACGUUGAUUAGUGAAUUCCCACGUAAUCUUUUUAUAAUUUUCUCAAAUUUAAAUGGUAUCUCAAAUUUUAGGGGAAAGCAAAACAAUACUUAACAGACCCAGCGUACAACAUCAAUAGUGCUUGAAGUUUUGAUACGAUCUGGUAAUUUUGAUUUGAUUCAAUCGUUCACGUCAAAGGAGAAUUGUAACAUUUCAGACGAUGUUUAGCAAUUUGAGGGGCUGAACCACAAGCAGAGGAUCGAUACCGCCAUAUUCAUAUCGAAGAAAUAAUAAUACAAAUCUCAGAGAUCCAGAGGAAACAAACCGGGCAUUUUCUCUUCCUUCCAGCAGCCACAUCUUCAGGAGCCAUAACUCGGAGAAUUAUUAGAAACACCCCGCCCGGACCAAUUCGCUCGCUCGCUCUCUCUCUCCCUCUCCCGUUGGGCAUAGGAGGUCUAUAGACAUUUUCAGACAACAUUAUAAGUCUUUCUCCAUUACAAAAAGUCGAGAAAAAAACAAAGAGACGAAAAGGACUUUUCAGUGGUUGGAAUCGAUAAAGCAGAUACAGUGAACUGAUUGGUGGCCCUCUCAAGUCAGUUCCAUUCAAUCGGAUCGAUAAAGACGAUGCAAUGAAGUGAUCGGUUGUCCUGUCAAGUCCUGGUUUUAUGUUUUAUUUUUACUUUCUCACCUUGGCAAACGAGGAUGGAUUCCACGCAGGUCUCACAGUACGAGUUCUCCAGUCUGGAGCUAAACUCGGCCAGGGUCCUCCAGCUGGGACCCAAAGUUGAAUAUGCACCGUUCGAGUCCGAGUCCAGGUAGAUUCUUUAAUUAUAAAAGUUGUUAAAGCACAGAUAUCUUGGUAAUACUUCAAACCACCGGAAUAUCUAGCUUUGAGAAAAUAUUGUGUACACAAGAGCACCACAUCAUAUGAGGCCCAUCUGUAGAAAUUUUGAAAACGCCUCGACGUGUCUGGCAGCGUUUGUUUGUAUUUCUUUUUUGUGUUUUUAAACACUUUUUCUGUUUUUUUGUUCCUGGGAACAAAAAAGGAACAGAAACGCGUUUGGGUGCGUUUCUGUUCCUUUUUUGUUCUUUUGUUCCCAGAAACAAAAAAGAAACAGAAACAAAACUUAGAAAUAUUUUUUUAUUUUUUCUUCUUUUUCUUCUUAUUUUCUUUCUUUUUUCUUUCGCCGGUCGCCGGCCUCGGCCAUGGUCGGCGACCGGCCAAAAGAAGAAAAAAGAAAAAAAGGAAAAAUAAGAAAAAAAUAGAAAAAAUAAAAGAAAUAAAAAAAUUAUACAAAUUUACCAAACGUGUUUCUAUUUAUUUUUUGUUCCUGGAACAAGUUUACCAAACGCGUUUUUUUGUUCAGAAAUUGUUCCCAGGAACAGAAACACUUUUUUCUAUUUCUGUUCCCUGGAACAAUUUUUAAACAGAAACGCAAACAAACGCACCCUCUGUCUCCUCUCUUCGUUCAAUGUGCCGUGAGAGGGUCCCACCUGUACUGUAAAGAACGAGGCACUCUCUCUCUCUCUUCUUUCAUAUGCAUUAUUUUCUCCCAGAUAUGUGAGAGAGAGAGAUAGACAGAGACAGAGGGAGAGCGAGAGCCUGGUCAUGGCGGAAACCAUGGAAGCCCCAGGGCACAACCCUAAAGCUCCUCGAGCACGACCGCGCCAUGCUCUCAAUUGCCACGGGCCAGUGAGGUGUCUCACUAGACGUCUGCGAGGUCGAGACCUCACCAGAUCGGUGAGCUUGAGCAUUGCCAGCGCCAGACCUCGGCAAGCUCGAGCUUCGCCAGCGUCCAACGAGCUUGUCCCUCGCCUGGCUGGUUGCCAGCCACCAGCCGACAUAACGAAGAAGAAAGAAAAAAAUAAAUAAUUAAUAAUUAAUUAUAAUUUUGAUUUUUAAAAAUCUUUUUAUACGCCUGGUGUUUUGGAAAUGGGUUUUAAACUCUAAUUUAAACUCAUUUAUUUUAGUCUUAAAACUCAUUUACGAUAAACACUUCAAAAUCGGAGUGAUUCAUGGUUCAUUUAUAUUUAAGAUUCAAUCUGACAAGUUUGUUUGAUGGCAAUUUCCUCGUGAAUACUUGUUGCACAUUCUGAUCAGGAAAGGCUUGCAGCGUUUGGCGGACUGCUCCUCAUAUUACGUAAAAGCAUCUUCUAGGUGAGACGACAUAGGAAAAAAUUCUAAAAAAAAAAUCGUAAGUAUCUCUAACAAUCUAAAAUUAAAACACUUAUUCUCGAGUAUAUUAGACCUGGAUUGUGGGUUAAAAAAAGAGAGUAACAGAGGAAGCUUAGGUGCUGCAUGGCAAUGUUUCUAUUCCUCAAAAUUUCUGUUUUUUGGUUCCCUGGAACAAAAAAAGAACAGAAACCUGUUUGGUAACGCCAAGUUGUUUUUCUAUUCCCGGGAAUAGAAAGUUAGCCCGGGAAUAGAUUUGGAGCAGAAAUGAGAAGUAAAAAAAAUUUGCUUCUUGUCCCGAGAACAAUUUCUAGAAAUAAGCUGAUUUUCUUUUUUAAUUUUCUUUUAUUUCUUUUUCUUGCCGCGACUACCGUCAACCGCCAGGAGCCAUCGCUUACUGCCGCCGCCGCCGCCGCCUCACGGCCGGCAGUGACGGUCGGCGGUCGGCAGUCGUGAGGCGGCGGCGGCUGGAGGGCCGGCGGCCGCGACCGGCGGGCGGGCGGCGGCGAUCCAUUGGCAAGAAUAAAAAAUGAAUAAAUACAAACAAUAAAUUGUUGCGUUACCAAACGCAUUUCUAUUCUUUUUCUAUUCCAAGAGUAGAAAUUUUGUGUCGUUAUCAAACGGGUUCUUUUACUCAGAAAUUGUUCCCCAGAGCAGAAAUAGAAAAGAACUAUUUCUGAAAAAAAAAAAACUCUUCCCAGGAAGGAAAGCGUUGUCAUGCGCAGCCUUAAGGAAUUGAUGGGCAGUUGAGGAAGAGAGAGAGAUUACGGUAUAUAUACAAAUGUUAUAAUUUGUACACAAGCUCCUAAAGUUUCUCCUGUAAAUUUAUUUAUCCAUUGACUUUCAAAUACUCGUAAAUUGUUUUUGGGAAUAAAAUAAAAAAGAAUAAGUUCCAAUCAGAAACUGUUUCCGAAAACAGAAUGAUUAUCAAAUGCAUCAUAACUACUGAUGCUUGAACUUUAGCCAACUAAUUCAAGGUUCCAUUUUUUAAAUGUACCAAAAUAAAUAAAUAAAAUAAAUAUCAAGAAUGCCAAUUCGUCCAUUUUCCAAUUUGCAUGAGUCUAAUUCAUCGGACCUCAGCCCGCAAGGUUAGCCCAUAAACCCCACUCGAAGCCCAUUAUCCAAAUUCCAUCACUCUUACCAACCGAUAAAACACACCCGGGAUCCGGAUCGUAAUGAUGUACAGCUAAUUCAAAGAGCAUGCCGGUAGAACUUUGGAUUCUUUUCAAGUUGAACAACGGACGAUAUGAAUUUUGCCGACAAAUCGAGAACUCAGCAGGACAAAAUGAUCUAACCGCGCCUUCAACUUGCAAAAGGCACGGCGAAAUACCAUCUGGACACUCCAUGAGGCCGAGGAUGAGGUGGGCAUUAAAGGUUCUGCAAUCUAAAACAUUUACAUUCUGUGAUGCUCUCCAUUGUGGACAUGAGGGGUUAAUUGUCCUACAUUGGGACAUCACACAGUGCAUGCCAUCUUUUCUGACCUGAAACAAUGCAUUUCCUUCCAUUGUCUACGGUAGAGGAACGCAACAGAGAAAGAUUGAACCAAGGGGGUCCGGCACCUCAGAGAAGAACUUAUCAUAUAACCUGAACAGAGAAUUUCACUGACAAUCGGAGACAUGAAGAUGCUCAUGCUCCAAGAGCUACAAGAUGAGCAGAAGAGUCAACGGGAGGAAGAGGGAAAGAAGAAGAUAAACAUAGAAACGAAGAAAGAAAAUGAAAAAGAAAAAAAGUCUUUGGACUAAGAUGCCCCUAAUUAUGAUUUGGAAAGUGGCAUGUGAGAUAUGCAUGCUCACUAGGUUUUUAUUUGAGACAAAGUCCACCAUGAAUUUUUUUUUUUGGUAAAAAAAAAUGAGCUCACUUUAAUUUUAUUUGAAAUUUUUCGGGUGUUCUUUCAUCCAAAAAGAUGAGAUAAAUAAUUAUUUAAUUGGCAUAUAAUCGAAUAGCAACAAGCUUACUAAGACGUUAGAUUGUUAACUUUUAUGACAGGUGAUGUUGCCUUGCUAAAAAAUAUCAAAUAAAUGAGUGUGUUUGGACUCAAUGAAGGAAAGGUAAAGCAGUUUCGAUGUAUUUUGGAACCCACCUAAUGCUUACAACAAGACAAGCCACUCGCGAAUUGAAAAGAAGGCAGAGGGUAAAUACGGUAGAUGGAUACCAGACGACAGAACAUGGUAUAUAUGUCAAAACACAUUCCCCGCAUUUAGGCCACAACUCCUGGAUACUGCAAGGAUAAAUCUGAAAAUAGAAGACAUGAUCAUGGAGAAAGCACUUUAAUCGGUCUAUUCACUUGUUCUCUUUUAACUAUUGAACUAAGACAAGCUUGAGACAUAAACAUCCUACAAGACAUAGCAAGCCUCAAGAAAGAUAAGUUACUUGCCUAAUAAUUAUGAAAUGGCCAGAAAAGAGUACUCAAGUUGGUUUCUCUUUUUGGAUUAUUGCUUGCUAAUGGAUCACACUAGAUUUCCUUAUUUCUCCCUUUCUUUCCCCUUGUCUACUUCUAGUGCGACUUUGGGACCGGAAGAACCUCAAAACACAGUUGCAAUCAACAAUUUCAGGGAUGGCCAUCCUUGGACGGCACUGGAAUGUCAUGAUAUUUUUAUGAGGCUCCGGAACUCCUCAAGUUAGAAGCCGUACUGCAAUAAAACAAAACCUAUCUGUCAGCCGGUAUCAAUCUUAUGGGACUGAAAGUGCUAAGAAAGGAGAGGUUUCUACGCAAUAUAAAUAGAACAGAGUGUUAAAAUGGAAUGUUUUCCAUGACCUUUUAUUCUUUUUUUUUUUUUUGAAUGUUCUAAAAACAAAUUUAUCCUUUCUCUGAAACGCCUAUAUCUAAUAUAGGCCUAAUUACCCAAAAAAAAAAAAAAACCACCAAGAUGAACGUGCCUUACUUGGUUUCUCCCGCACCUAAGUCCCAAUGAUAAGAAUGAACUCACCAAAUUAAAUAAUGGAAAGAGUAGUAGAAGAUUAGAUAAACAAGAAAAAAAAAAGUGAGAACAGAUGACACCCCAUUAGAGACUCUGCUAAUCUGUAAGUAAUCUGCCUUCUGUAUUCAUGGGCUUUAGGGUGUAUAAUGUUCUGAAUGCCGGGUUGGGAGUGGGUGGAGAGAGAGAGAUGGUCAGCGAGAAAAUUCAGAAGGAAAAGUUAACGGCGAUCUCCCAGUCCCGUCUUGUUUGUUAUUCUUCACUCUGUUAUUUGGAAGGAGAAGUGAGCCUAUCAUUUACAUGUUCUCUUCCUCAUGAUUUAGGUUGUGGAAUACCGAUAUAUAUAUUAGUUUUUCUAUUUUGAAAACCCUAAUUAACUCUCUCUCAUGGUCGGCGCGCCUCCUUCAGUCCUCAACACUCCUCAGGCACUUUCCCUCAAAAAGAAACCCUAACCUUUGGUCCAUUCUUAAUCCUCCUCACGCAAGAUCCUCUUAAUUCUCGCGCCUCGUCUUGCUCUCAGUCGCCUCUCGGCUAAACUUUCACCUCCAGCCCUCUAUCCCUACAUCACAGUCGUGGCCUUGCAUACGACCCUCCCUCGCGGUCAUGGCCUCACCUCUCCCUUACUCUCGACUCAAUGUAAUGGCCGUUCUCUUGCUAUUAUUGCUUGAUUUCUGUCGCUGGAAUGGGAUUUCUUAUGGGAACGCGGCGUUAGUUAUGCUAGAAAUUAUCCAACACUCAAUUUGGUGUCUUCGCACUUUUAUGGGAAAAGUUUCGCAGUCUUUUUUUCAUUCAAUUUCUUUUACGUUUCAUAAAACAUGGAAAACUAACAACAUUGAAACACACUAAAAGUCGAACAAGAUAUAUCAAUAUGAUAUUAAUAGAGUAAGAACCCGAACUUUGUCGGGCAAAAUUAAAUACCGCCUUUACAUUAAGCCUUGAACAGGAUCCCAGCCAUGCCCGACAUAAAAAAUGCAAUUAGUCUAGGCUAAUGAACGCAAAUUUCCCUAAACUUUGGCGAUAAUGAAAUGUUAAACCUAGAUAUGAAAUUGAGUUUAAAUAAACUAAAUACCGUGAUGAAAUUCUUACCUAAAUGCAAUUCCUUUUUUUUUUUAAAAUCUUUUUCAUCUCCAAUAUUUUAUAUUUUCCUCAUGGAAAAAACAGACUAGAAUCUAAGAUAACAUCCAAGGGAGACACGGACCAAGGCCCAGUCCGGAUGAGGGCGCACAUUACACCCCCAAUAAAUCACACAGGAUAGACUUGUGUCAUGGACAGGAUUCUCCCGUGCUUAAGUAUCCUUGUGAGUAGAGCUUGGUGUGAUUGAAGUGAAGAAUGAGUGAUGUAGAAGGGACGAUACAACUAGUUCUUAGGAGUGGCGUCAGAGUAUUUGUGCUAGGAAUUCUAUAAUAGAACAAUUAUAACUACUAGGAGUUUUAAAAGCAGGUUUGGCCUCCCGUGUAUAGACUAAUCAAUAGUUGAUGUUGCUUUCCCAAUGAGACCAUGGCAAGCUGAAAUCACUUGUUGCACCUUAAUGUUCUAUGUGUCUCGCGCAAAACAUUGGAUGCCCGAGCUAAACUAAGUGUGAUGCAAUCCUACGUGAUGAUGCAUCGCCAUACUCUUCUUAGGAACAAUUAUAAACAGAAGGCUAGUACAGUGUUUUCGGCUCACUAGGUGCUGCAAAGGCUGUUUCAUGGCCAAGAAACUAUCGGUCCAUGACACUUGAAUGGCGAUUGCAUAAGUGCUCAAUGCAAAAUGAAUGGGCGAAUACUAAGGCUCUGUUUGUUUCGCAGAAAAUAAAUGAUUCAAAAGAUAUUUUUUUCUUCUAAAAAUGCUCAUUUGUAUAACUCGAAAUAAUUAAUUAACAAAAUAAAUUAAUCAAUGAUCACAAUUCAUGUCUAGAUAUUUUUGUGAAUGAUAAAAAAUAUUUUUCAUUUAUUUAUUUUUGUAAGUGAUAAAAACGAUCAAUUUUAAAAAUUGUUUUUCGAAUAAUUUAUUUUUCGCAAAAUAAACGAAACCUAAUUCUAACAUCACUAGACAUCAAUAUAAACAUGGAUAUGAGAAAAUCAACUAACUCGACAUGAUGAGGUUCACCGCUAAGGGGGAACACGGCUUUGAGGCAAAUUCGUUGUUUUUGGGUAAGCAAACAUAAUGGCCGGUUUUGAUGAGAACAUUAAGAUGCAAGUAUCAUAGGUCAAUAGUUCCUUGGCCAUGGAAUACCCCGUGUAGCUUUUGAGGAGCGGAAUUCGCCAGGCCAACCUUCCUUUUAUAGUUGUUUCAAUGAACAAUACGACGAAUAGUACUUUUAUACGAGAUCGUACCACGCCCAACUUUACUUAGGCGUCUAGUCCAUCAAGUGAGACAACAGAUCUCUUUAGGCUCAAUAAUUGGUUUCAACCUCCCAUGGCCUCAUCAAGAGAGUGGCAUCAACUCUUGACUAGUAUGUGCAUGAGAGGCUAACUCCGUCUUCAAAGCUCCUAAGUAAUAUAAUCAUUUCUAUCCUAGAACUCUUAGCACCAAUCAUCCUGAUCUCACUCCCAGUUGUGUUUAUCCUCUUUGCAUCCUCACUCUUUAUUCGAUAACCCCCGGCUCCGGUAUGGGAGAAUCAUAGACUGUGACACAAACACAUGAUUUAAGCAUUAAACAAGACAUAAUCAAACCUCAUAUCCAGGCUAAUCAAACUGGUGGUACCGAGAUAAUGAGUUUGCAACACCCAAUAGGGCGAGAUAGACUAACAUACUUGGCUUUAAACUACAAUUUCGCGGUCGGCAGAUCUGAUGAACAAUAGAUGAUAGGGAGCACACGAAAAACAUUAGACUCCUACAUUAAAUGAUGGAAGGAAAUAAAUGAACAAGCCUGGAUGGACCUCUCUCAAAUUUCUCACUCUCGUUUCCUUCUCAACUCACUCUCUCGUGCUCUCACGGCCAAACUCACUCUCAUUCACUCACCCACGGUUUGGGAGAGCUGUGGGAGAUGUUCUCCAGCUCACUCUCUAUUUCCCUCACUCCCUCUCUCUUUCAUGGAUUGAAUGGUUACGAAGUGAAGAAAUUUAUUCUUUAUACUCCCCACUCCCCAAUUUAUGCUCACCGUUUGGACCCAUUUUUGGGGUACAAUAUGGUGAGGUCUUUUGUCCGAUGGUUUGUACCAUGCAUGGGGUUAUUGGCCGGUCAAAGGGGAGAUGAUUUGUCCAGGGGAGAGGAUUUGUCCACUGGUUCGUGCCAUACUCAAAAGAGGAAGCCCUUUUGCCUAAGGGUUUGUACCAUGCUUGGGGUUCAAAGGAAGUCUAUUGCCCCUUGGAUUUAGAGGUGUAUGGCCGACCAAGGAGAUCCUAUUUUGACCAAUUUGGUUCAAAUUUAAUGUGCCAUUGUUUCCCUAUACGGUAUACCUAAAAAAGCCUUAUUUGCUUGUCCAGUAUUUUCCUAUUUAAUCACCAACGUAUCUUUCCGAUCAGGACGUAGACAAACUGCAGGUCGAUCUAUGCGCUUUCUCUAAGUUCUGCCGUUUGUUCCUUAGCUCCUUAGGAAUGAAGGGGAAGACAUAAGGACGGGCUUUUCGGGCUAAGGUAAGAAAGUCAGCCUUUACGACUGUGAAAGCAAUUCCUUCGUGGGACUUGGAUUAGCGGCAUAUCCACAAAGGAGGCAAAUUAAAAGGGCUAAUAAUGCGAAAAUGUGAAGCAAAAUGGGUGAUUCGAGAGUUAUCAUUAUUUGGACGAAUUUUAAAAGUAAAGGAUACGCAAAAAUGAGAUAUAUGAACUCGAGUCCACGCAAAGUGCAAUAUGCAAGUUUAUGCAAUAUAGAUAUUUUUGGUUCGGGAUCAAAUUCCAAAUGAAUUCGAUCCCUAAUUUUUCUUAUGAAAAGCACAAAUAGUCUAUAAGCAAAAAUUUAAGUGUAAAAACUAUAUUUAAAUUGAAAGAAGAACCAGAAAAGUUGAACAGCAUGUAAUGAAAAAUAAAUGUAAAAAUUAACCACGUCACUCAUGUCAAAAGAUGCAAAACAUCCUUCCCUUUCAGAUAAGCCUACGACAGCAUCGAUUUGGCAGGGGAAUUCGUAAACUUGAUCUAGAAGUGAGGAGACACAUGGUAACUAAAAAUUUGACAAAUCAACUAAAGGCAUAACGUCAUAAACCAUAGGUAAAGAAAGAAUGAGAACUCCAAACAUCAAAGUGACCCAAUAUUCCAAGUGACAAAUCUGCCAGAAAGUAGCAUACACUUGAGGCGUUACAGAUUUUUCCAGCUGAAUUUUGUUAGGAGAAAAUCAACUGGUGCACAACUUUCCUUUCGGAAGAGACCGAUGUGCUCACCCGGAGGGGCUGCUUUUUGCUCACGGCGGUUGAUUUUGGCCUCAACUUGUCUUCAGGGGGAAUUCAAUAGAAUCAAGCUUGAAAUUGACUCCAACGAAUUUGCCUUAUUCGCCUGCUCCCCUAGCUUCCCUUAACAAGGUGGAUGGCCAUGCACAGAUAUCAGUUAGAACUGAGGAGACUCCAGCAUCACGUAUUUGGAAAACGAGCCAUUACAUACUUCAAUGCAUCCUGUACUUGCGCCGACUUCUCAGCCGGACAUUCACUGAUAUUCAGCUUUUCCAAAGAUGUUAAUUUUUCUAGGCCUUCAAUUUGACUGAUCUUUUUGCAUCGAAUGAUCUCUAAAACUUUCAGCGACUUCAAGUUUGAUAGAUCAGGUAAACUGAGGUCAUCACAGUCAGAUAGAAUCAAACUCCUCAGUGAGGUUAUCUGGCCAAUCCCAUUGAGAUUUUGUAUUUUGCAGUUUGAUAUAUCUAGCCUCUUCAGGGCUUCAAGCCCUUCAAGCCCUUCAAUCUCUUCUAUCGCAGAGUGGUAGAGCUUGAACGAUAACAGCUUCUUGGGAAGCUCAGAUACAUCUCUACAGCUCAAACCAGGGGGGGUAAGCAUUUUGAGCCUUUUGAGGGGAGGAAUAUCCGUAGGCCCAAACUUCAGCUUGAUAACUUGCGAAAGAGAAAGUUCUAGUUUCCUCAGUCUGGGAAACGAUAUCGAGAAGGAUUGUUUGUCAAUCAUUCGUUUCACGUUGGAUUCUGGCAUUGGCAGUUUGGAGGGAGGUUGGCGUGCCUCCCAGUCCCCAUCACUUAGGCACAGCUCCUCCAACUCCUUCAAAUCUUCAAGAAGGGGUAUCGCUUUCAUCCUUUCAGAACUCACACGCAGACAAAUUAGAGACGGGGGAAGCUUCGGCAACUCUUCAAUUUCAUCGCACUGAAUUAAAUCCAGGGUGUGAAGACCACCGAUGGUGGAGAUUGCAGGGGGUAGGCUAGAUAUACUGGAAUGGCCCAGCGUCAAUGAUCUCAGACAAUGUAGUCCCUUAAUAUCAUGGGGAAUGGCCCCCUUCAAACUCCAACACCAGGACGCAUGUAGUUCUUCGAGCUUGGUUAGAUACCCAAUCUGCCCAGGAAAUGCUCGAAUGAAAGAUGAGUCCAUUCUCAGCACUUUCAAGCUUUUCAGAUUUCCUAUUGAAUCUGGGAGUCCAGAGACACUAGUCGCCGAUAUAUCCAACUCCUCUAAUGACCCAAUUUCACCGAUGGAAUAUGGAAGUUUCUCCAAACAACGGCAAUCCCUCAAUGACAAGCAUCUUAGCUUUUGCAGCUUUCCCAGUGAGCUCGGGAGCUUAGAAAUUUUGGCACCUUCUAAUUGGAAUUCAGAGAGAGCAGUCAGAUAACAAAUUGAACUGGGCAGGUGAGUCAAUGGGAAGCAAUUUAAGCCACUGAGAAUUUCGAGUUGCUUCAAAUUGCCUAUGGAGAUGGGGAUCUGCCGUACAGAAGUCCCGUCAAUAAAAAGCUCUUUCAGAGCUGUCGUACAACCUAGUUCCACUGGCAACCAGUUCAAUUGGGAGCAGAACUUCAAAUUCAGGUAAACUAAAUGUUUCAAAUUGCCAAUUGAAGGAUCUAGCUUCACCAAAUGAGAACAUCGUUCAAGAAUCAGGAUUUCCAAAUCUUUGUAAUCAGAGAAGUCAGGAGUGAACAGUAAGUCAGAACACCCGGUAAGAUUCAAGACUUUCAAUUUCUUCAUCUGCAAAGCCAAAAGGGAAAACACGCACAUGGUCAAUUCGCAGAUAUUUAAUUCAACAAAGCAACUAUAAAAUAACCAAAUGAAUACCAAACCACCUUGAUUUUACUCCAACCUCCCCAUUCUUCCGUGACUUUGCUCCAAGACAGAUCAAGAAUAACUAACUCUCUUAAUACAAAAUUUUCUGCUCUAAAAUCCAGAGGAAACCUUUGCCAACAAAGCCACCUUAAACUCGGAAAUACACCUGCAAAAUCUCCGGAAACUUCUGCACCAUCCAACUUGAGAAAACUUAUGGCUGGCAUGAACGCAAAAUUUACAGCUGUUAAUAUGCAUAAAUCAUGAGAUUCAACCUCUCCGAUUCCCUACAUAUAAAAUAAGUAUCAUUAUCAUCAGAAGCUGUAAACCAAAAUACCAAUCAGGAAAAAAGGAUGCUUUUCCUUGCCCCGCAUGCUAAAUAGUACAUACAUAAUAUUAUUCCCUCAGAAAAUGUGACAUAAAAAGAAUAAUGCAGCCCAUAUGUCAAGGAUGUUUGUUUGCCGAAGACAAACUGAACCAAAGUUUUACCUUCUCCCUGUUCAUUGCUUUUCGAAUCAUAUCCUGUGUGAAAAAUCUACGUGAACUUGGAUCUCCAGAUCCCUCUUGCUUAAAAAUUCUUUUGCCAAGCAUCUCAGCAAUCUGUGCAUCUGCAGUUCAUUGUUUUCUCCAAUUUUUGCCAGGGGCAUUAGAAUGCAACCAGAAGAUGGAAGGUAACAAUUGGACCACAUAUAUGAAGCAAUUCGGGCAUCCACACCAGAGAUAAAACAUGCAAUGUCCAGAUAUAUAUCUUUUUGCCGAUGAUCCAGUUCUCCGUAACAUAUAUCCAAUAGCUCUUGAAGGCCAACCAUAGUCUUUUG